UUUUUUUUUUUUUUUUUGAGUCAAUGGUGGAAUUGAUAUAGAUAUUGGAAGAGUCUGAAGUAUGGCCUUCUUUUAUAUAAAAAUAUAACAUAUCUUUUAAAGCAUUGAGGGAAUACAUAGAACUAUUGUUAAGGGCAGACCCAAUGUGUGUGUAAUUUAAAAAUAAUUAAAUUAAUUAAUUUAUACCAAUUUUGUUCUUUACAUAAAUAAAAUUGAUAUAAAUUUUUCAUUAAAGAACUUUGGUUUAUAAUGUUACAGUAAUUUGGUAGUUAGAUUUGGGUUUGUUAUGAGUAGUUAUAAUGGUAACUAGAGAUUUUCUGGCUGUGCAAGGCACAGCCAAUGCCCAAUAUAUAGUGUCAAAAAUAUUGAGAAAUUUGCUGGUAUUCUCAUUUCUUUAAAGAAUGACAUGUAAAUUCUUGGCAAGUUUUAUGUAGUGUCUAUGCAAAUGCGUAACUCGGAGAAAUGAGCGCAUAUGCAAUAUGAAAAAUAAACAUGAAUGAAGAAGACAAUAAACUCAAGUUAAUUAACUCACAGCACACAAUGUUUCUUUCAUGCAGAAAGAUACACACUCACGUAUGAUUCCAGAUUUUUACAAUAAUUUGUACAGCUCGAUCACAUACAAUUCCACAGUUUUACAAUAAUUUGUACAGCUUGCAGAAGAAUUAUGACCAAAAAAAAUUCAAAUCUUUGGCUAAUUCAAGCAUGUUGGACUUUGAAUUACCAAAUAUUGAUAAUAAAGAUAUCUAGACAACACCAAAACAAAAUUAACUGAAUCGCAGAACAAUAGUGCGUAACUUUACAAACACUUUGAAAUUCCUUGCAGCCCAAAUGUUUGAUGGCAAGAUGUGACGUUCAUUGCAGCCCCAAAUGGCACCAUGCGAAUAAUAGCUUUCGUACAGCACUUUGAAAUUCGUUCAUAGAGUCCUAACAAUGUGAGGAUUGAUAUUAAAAAGGUCAUCUUUAGUCAUUGCUAGUUUCCUAUGAACUCGAACAGGAAUGAUUAGAAGGUCGAUGCUAGUGAGGGCAUCCUGCAAUUUCCCUUUCUUUACAAAACCAUGCAGCUAGAAAUGUAAACCAUAGAUAAUCAGUAUAUGCGAAAUUCAAUAAUUUAGAACAUAAGAAUUUAUAUAGCACAAAAAGGGACAUCUCAAUUUUCACUCAUUGAAUUUCAUUUUAUCAAAUUCCUGAUCCCUGGAUUUACCAACAAAGUUAAGGUAAAGUGAAGUAAGAUGAGAUAAUGCUAUGAUGCUGCAGUCUUUUCGUUGACCUUAAGGCCAAUUAUGUGAAGAAAAGCUUACUGAUAGGUUGUGUCCUCUGAUAGAAGCAGCAACUUUGAUUGCAGCAAGUAGGUGAUCUUCCUUGAUCAUACUCGUUUGCUUCUAGUACAUAUAAAUCUAUUGAUUAGCCAACCUCACCAUAAUCGUAUAAAGCAUACGUUCAAUUAAUAAGUGAGAUCAAACGAACCUACAACUGAAAAAAUUAUGAAUAAUAGAUGAAAUAUAACAAAACUUAAGCACAAACAUUAUAGCGUGUAGUCAAGGAAGAGGAGAAAGUGACCUGAAAUUGAAGCAAUUCCUUAGUGCAAAUCUGUGAACCCCAAAUAAAAGGCUUUUCUGCACCAACACUUUCAACUUGUAAUUAAAUGAGUGCAAUAAAGUAGAUAUAUGGAGAAACAUAUGUAAAUUUUUAACUUAUAUGAAAAGUAAACCGCUCAUUUGGAACGUAUAGAAGUACUGCACAUAUUAUUGAUUGCUAGAGAAGCUUAUAUGACAUAUGAGUAUUAGAAUGCACUACUCUAUCAAAAGAUAUUGGAGCAAUGGAUUCUAAUACUGCAUUUUCAGCUUGACAAAGUCAUGAACCUAGGCUUUACAGGUUUAUGGUUCUGGUAAUAGGAGUUGUUAGCAGGUGAGGGAGGAGGUACUAAUUCUAAGUAUUAGAAUGCAUUGCUCUAUCAAAAAAUAUUGGAGCAAUGGAUUCUAAAACUACAAUUUAGGCAUGAUAGACCUGCUAAGUUCUUCUCUAGCAAUAUCAAAAGGUUUUAGUAAGGGUUGGGGAGUGUUCAAUUCCCUUUUCCUUCCUGUUUUGGUUUCUUUGUUGGGCUGGCAGCAGUUUCGUCGAUUGGGGUGGUAUUUGGUGAAGCUGAGGUAGCAGUGUCUCCAAGCAGUUUGUGGCUGGUUGUUGCAGCAGUUGUUCAUUUAGUGAUGAAGCUUUUUUUAGUAGCAGUGGAUUCGGCUAUUUCUUGAAGGAGCAACUUGGCUGUUGGUGUGAACGUUUGUUGUUCUAUGACUUGUUUUUGCUUGGUGUUUGAUGUUGUUCUAGUUUCUGAAGCUUGGAGAGUUGGUGGUGAAUCUAAUAGAGCCAAUGAUAUGUUGGGGACUUCAGCUGUUGGGUAGGCUUUGAUGAUUGCAUUUCUUCUUUGAAGUUGUCCUUGAAAAGUUGUCUCAUAUGUUUUGAUAAAACAGAUCAACCUGUACUUUUUCAUGAUGGCAGAGAGUUCUUGGUUCAUUGUUAUUCCCUGAAAUGAUAAGCAUCAAUGUGAGUGUUUAUAUAUUAGUAUUUCUGUAUAUAAAUGUUGAACGAAAACUUGAAAGUUAGGUGUGCUGAUGUACAUGUGCCUCUGCAUCCUUAAGCUGCGCAGCAGUCAAUUGUAUCAGUCUUUCAGCUUCUUUUCCAGAUAUUAAGCAUUGAAUGCUUGCAGUUGGAUCGGUCACUGUUAUUCCAAUGCGACACCUUAUGUGCAAUGUCCGAGUUUUAGUUUAUUGUACAAUGUAUAGUAUAAAAGAGUUAAUUUUAAACAGGCUAGAUGAGAAACAAUACCUUAGUUCCACUUUGGCUUCUUGUCUGCAUGAUGAACAUUUUAUGAUCCAAUCUGUAUCUGCUUCUGGAGCUUAUAAGCAUAAUACUCUCGCACGGAAACAAAAUCUGGAUCUUCUUGAAAGCUACUCAUUACUGUGUAAAGUGAGAAGAAAAUUUUUUAUUAGUUGAUAUUUUUGUGAAAUUUUACAUUAAAGAGUGCUGAUUAAUAAACUUGUAUUUACUUACCAGCCUCUUCAUUCUCAAGUAAUUCAUCUACAUUAGAGACAUUGAUGGGGCAAAUAGAUUCGGUUGUAAGUUUUUUUUUUCUCAAUCUCUUAGUUUGUGCCUUUAUUCCCUUUUUCGGAAUGCCUUGGUGCCAUCCUAGAUCACCAAAAGGAAACAUUAGUGGGUAUUGAAGUGGAUCAUAACAUCCAUAAUAAUAUUGAAUAUUUUUUGAGGUCCCACUAUGAGUGUGCACUCUAAUGUCUCGCUUUCCUGUUUGACAAUUGUCUUCACCUUCAAUCCACAAAGCUGCUACUUGUGAGCUUGUAGGUUUAUUAUAGACUCUCUGGUCUAGACCAGGAAUGCUCUUCAGGACAAUGUGAUAAUUAUCAAGAUUAGGCACUCCACUUAAAGUUCGAAAAAAUUUAGCGUAUGGAUUGUUUUCCAACACGCACAUGAGUUUCUUAACUAAAGUUUCUGAUAACCUGGGGCAAGAUGCUAUUCGAUUGGCUAACUCAAUUUCAGGAUCAUGAAAAUAUAAUUGAAGGUUUUCGCCAUGAUCAUUGGCUGAGUUUAAGUUGUUUAAAAAAUGAUAAAUUUGCCCUUGAAUUCUAAAUGUAUAGAUUCCUUUAUUUCUUCUACAGAGUUUCUUGUCAUAUUUAACACCAAAAGAGGUGACACCAAAGUGGUUGUUAUAAGUUCUAAUCAUAGUUCUAAAGGUUUUUGCUUCUUCUGAAGUUGAAGUUAAGAGCUCUUUUAGAACAUUAGGGAGUUUAUUUUGAGAGAGAACUACUUCACCGCUGGAACAACAGAAAUUCAUUGUCUCAGAAUAGAAUUUCUUUGCUCCGCAAUGCUGACACUGCGGCUCCAAUGGUAACCUAUCAGGGUAAUCAGGUAUGAACCUUAGCAAAUCUCUUCCACUCGGAUGCAUCUUACCUAUAAUGUGAUUUGCAUUCAUUGAUUAGUAAUUCUAAAAUCUUGCAAAUUUUUGUAUCCUAAAAUUGAAGAGAAGUGAGUAUAAAGCUGAAUGGUUAUUAUUGGAGGAUUUCUUUGAUGAUCGAAUCAAUGAUUUUUCAGAAGAAUUAUUGAUAGUGUUUAUUUCAUAUUGACUGUAUUAAAGAUGGUCUGAAAGUUUUUAUGAAUUUAGAAAAGAUGGUUUGAAAAGGUGUUUUAAACCUUUUUUUGUAUAAAAAAAUUUAUAAAAGAAAGUGGAAAUAGACAAAUCUCAGAUAGAGAAUUCAUUACCUUUUUGGGUUAGUGAUUGUACAUCGGAUUGUAAUGCAGAGUUGGUAGCAGCUGUGCAAUUCUCAAUCCUUUCCAAUCUCAGAGCUGGUACAUGUUGGAUUUUAGUGCAACCAUGUCUACGUAAUUUCUUAGAUUUCCACUUUAUGUAUGCUUGUCUUCUAUAAUUCUUUUUCUCGAAGCAUUUUUCUUCAAGAUCAUAUGCAGAAGGAUGAGAAAGAAUAGCAGAGAGAGGUAGUACUGAGGAAGUUGGUUGAGAAGUGGAAACAUUUGCUGUUCCACUUAUACCACGAAGUCGAGUGACUGUGAGAUUAUAGUUCUCAUUAAAGCUGUCUUGAUAAGAAGAUGUUCUAUUUGAGCUUGAUCUAAGAUCAAUAUCAUUAGGUUGAGGGCAGCUCUUGAUAUGAGAAGUAUGGAUUUCAGGGAUACAUGUAAAAUUGAUGGAAGGCGAACUGUGAGAGUGAGCAUAAACCUCGUCAAUAUUAGAGGUUAAUAGGAGCUGGUUAUGAUUUGAUUGAUUUAAGGUCCUUAAAUGAGAACUAUCUAAUCCAUGCAUAGAUGCGACAUUGGAAGAGGAUAAAUGUUUAGAAACAGGGACAACUUCAUUAGUAUAAUUCUCAUGAUCCUUCCUAAUGAUGUUACUAUUUGGGUCUGUCAUAAAGUGGAAGGUGGGACGAAUUAGAUGAGCGUUAUUUCCUGAGGUCUGAAUAUUGACAUAUGUAGUAUCAGAAUGCAUAUGGAUUGGAUUAGCAGGAUGAGCCUGAGAAAAUGGGAGGUUUGUUGAUAGCUCUUCAGAUUGUUCUAUUGUAUGAGAGCUAUUUGCGUUCCUUUUUAAUGAAACCUCAGCAUUGUAACAUUCAUUGAGCCACUCAUCUACUAAACUAAAGGGUUUAUUUACAUUCCUUUUUCUUUUCAUUUUAAUGAAAGUAGGAGUAAUAAAAUGUCACUAAUGAUAGCUAAUGAAGAGAGUAAAGCUAACUUCUAUACAUAUGAAAUCCAAACUGUUAGAUACAAGCAGCUGACCAAGAGAUACAAACAUGAGAUUAAUUGUUUCAGACCGUCAUAUUCAACGAAUUAGAGUGAUUAAAUAGUAAGAGGCAAAAUCUGAGAAAGAAAAAUCAUAUCAGCAUAGAGAUUCAGUUAUGAUAUUCUCCAGGGUGUAGUCAAGCAGAACAAAACUUAAGCACGAAAAUUGUAAGAUGUAGUGAAGGAAUAGAAGGAAUAACCUUGAAUUGAAGCAAUUCCUUAAUAUGAAUCUGCCAACCCCAAACCAAAGCUUCUUUAGCACCGACUCUUUUAAAUCGUAACUAAACCCCUGAAAAAGGUUGGCAACCAAAAUAAAUUGUACAAGAAAGGCAUCAAUGUAAAACUAUACAAAUUAUCCAAUAUGUUUAAACUAUACUCAGAUGAGAAAAAAUUAGACAGAGGCGAAAAUAUAAUUAGGCACACUUUAAAUGAAUGUGAAUCUGUUAAGGAGAAAAGUAGCUGAAAUAUUAAGAAAUACCACCCACCUACACCUACCCUCAAGCUUGUAUCUGAGGAUUUCGAAUAUUAUAUUAGAAGCUGAACAACAACAAGCACAAGAAUUUAAUCCAAUUAGAGGAAUGAUAGACACACUAACUAUUAAUUUUUCUAAUAAACCUGAUACAAUGAAUCUAAUCCAAUUUUUGUGCCUGUAUAGUAUAGGUGUUUCCGUUUGUUUUUGACCACCAAGAAUUCUUUUUGUUGUUGGAAUCCUUUUUGUAAUAAAAAUUUGUAAUUUAUUAGUAACUUUUUCUUUAAAAACAGCUAUAGUUUAUUUGGUAGUUAUAAUAUUUAAGAGUGUUAUGGGAGAUUAUGUUAGCAAAUCUGAUUAGAAGAAUAAAAAUUAAUUUUUAAGGACAAAAUUAAAAAUUCAUAAAAUGACACAAUAUUUAUUCCAACUACCACCUCUCUCCAUUUCCUAUACAUAUAUAAAAAGCAGUUAUAGGAAGUUAGAAAGCCAAAUAUAUAUUACGUACAUAGAAAGCUAAAGUCCAACUUGCAUAUAUAUAUGAUUAUGCAUGUCCGCCUAUUCCACAACUUCUGUCCGUCUCACUCACUGCCGUGUCCAACUUGCAAAUCCACGACUUUAGACCCCAAAAACAUGGAUACAAGUAAUUACCAAGUAUCAGACCAUUCCUUUGCUCUAUCAACAACCAAAAUCUAUUUCACCUACACAACCUUCUAUCCCAUCCUAUCCACCACUCAAAAAUACCAUAUUCGUUGAAUUGGAGGAAAAAAAAUAGGAGAACUUACAAUCUAUGGACUUGAUACUCGCAAGGGAACUUAAAAGUGAUAACAAAAAAAGUAAGGGAAAAAAAAUUCAGUCGACAAGUAAUAACUGAAAGCAAACGAACUUACAACUGAAAUCUGUGAACGCUAAAUCAGAAGCUCUUCUGCACCAAUUCUUUCAAAGUGCAAUUAAACCCCUGAAGAAAUUUGGCAACGAAAAUAGAAAGUAUAUAGAUUAUCCAAUCUCUUCAAGACUGGUGGGGAAAACUAUUAGGCACAGAAUAUGAGUAGUUACCUUUACUCGGAGAUGUUACAGAGCAAAAGGAGGAAGAAGCGUUGAUUUUUUUUGUGAGCAGUGUUUGUGUUCCUAAUGUAUAUAAAGACACAAAAUUGAUGAGUUGUUAGAGAUUUUUCUUCUCACUUUCGAUAAUUUGUGAACUGGCAAAUGAAAAGGAAGGCAAAAGGACAGACCCUAUAUCUCUAAUAAUAGGUGGAAAUCAUAGCUCAUACCUGACUCUUUGUGGAAUAAUCGCAUAGUUGGGAUAUGGAUGAGCAGCCACAAUUGACUCUUUCUGGAACAAUAGCACGAUUGGGAUAUGGAUGAGCGGCCAUAUUUUGGGGGAAAAGAUGGUCAAAUUAUUGACCAGGUGUUGGAGCAGAUAAGUUGGUACUUUUGUUUGUCCGAUCCAGGAAGAAAACAAAAGAGAAACAAAGGAAUGGAAACAGAGAGGGAGGGACGAAGGAGAAAAGGUAGAGCUUAACAUGAAAAGAAAAUGAAAUCUGCAAAUAUGCUUCUUCUGAAGCAAAAAGAAAACGAAACGGAAAGAACGGGAAAGAGAGGGCAAGAAUGCUAGGGAAAAAGUCAAAAACACUUCUAAACAAUUGGCUACUGAUGGAAGAAUUGAAGUUGUACUUUUCUUCGUUGAACCAGCAAGAAAAAAAAGGAGAAAUAAAGAAACGGGAAACAGAGAGAAAGAAACGAAGAAGAAAACAAAGAUGAUGGGCUAAAGUUGUAAAAUGAAGUGCAAUGAACAUGAAUUCCUUCCCUGCCAUCGGUGCUAAAGUUGUUUGACUUUUUGGCUUCUUGUCUUUCAUAAUGGAGACAAAGAAUAAGUGGAGAACAGAGCCAAUGCCAACUACCGGUUUCUUUGGUCUAAGGAAAGAGGGGAAGAGACGUGAAAGACUGAGAAGUAAAAGCAAAAGAAUAUGCGCGGAAGAGACGUGAAAGACUGAGAAGUAAAGCAAAAGAAUAUGCGCAAAAAGUCAGACAUAACCCUCAAUAGUUUGUUACUGUUUUGUGGCUAGUUAUUUUUCUUUGGGCAAGAUAGUAAUUUCAUGUAAAAAGGCCAAAAUGCCCUCAACAGUGAUAUACUAUUAGCGGAAGUAGUAAACAUUCCCAGGACAUAAAAGGAAGAAAAAUUUUCUCCCUCCUCUAAUGCCGCCAGGUGGAUCAAUGUGGGAGAAGAAGUCUUAGCUUUUUCUAUAUAUGUAAGAUAUGGUUAGGUGAUAACGAAAGAAAAAUAAGUAAUUACAACAAAGUAGGAAUUUCUCAAGGACAAGAAAUUAAAAUAAUGAUGGCGUCAAUCGGGUAUAAAGUAAAUGUUUGGAAUAGAUAUACACUAUCAUUGUUUAGCAGUCUAACAACUGAUCUUUCCUUCCCUUAGACGUACUAAUUAGUUGUCCGUGUAAUUCGAGAAUGGAAUUUAGCAACCGGACACUUGCAAAGGGCUAAUUGCUCAUAUUAUUGUUCCAAAAAAAAAUCGCAAGUAUAAGGCUCUGACAAGGUUGUGAUACAAACUAUGGCUGCCGACUUAGUCAAUCCGUUGCAAAAAAAAAAAAAAAUUUUUUUAAUUACCCAGCAGCCCACAUGCAAAAAAAAAAAAAAAGAUGCUGCCGGCCUAUCAUGCAAAGCGAAAAAAAAGGACUACGGCAAUGUGUCAUAUAUUGGAGGCUUACAAACUCCAUGAUUACUUGUUUUGCAUCCAUUAUUACUCUUGGCGCAUUCUAGUCUGAUAUUGAUAUCUAAAUAAUCCAAAAUUGUAACCAAAUGCCUGGCAAUUGAAAACCUUUUGAUUUUUUUUUUUAAAAAAACUUUUGAUAUACAAUGGUAUAUUAGCAUAAAUCAUUUUUGCCCAUUUAGCUACUGUACCGACCUUGUAAUUUUUCCACAAUAGCUGCACCACACUACGAAAAUUGUUACGUUCAGUUAUUAUGCUCCUUAUCAUUAUUAUUAGAGUGAAUGGCCCAAAAGGUCACUAAACUAUUAAAAAUGGCACCCUCUGGUCACUAAAGUUUUUUUGUGGCCGAAAAGGUCACUAAACUCGCAAAAACUCUCCAACGAAGUCAUUUUACCAAAUUUCAGCGGUUCCUCAUCCGGUAACAGGGUCAAUAUGGAGUGGAGGAAUAUAGUAAAUGGGCAAAAAUGUCCGAAAGAUUAUUGGAAUAGGUGAAGCCAUAGAUUGUCUCAAUCCCAAACCCUUAUUUCCGCAGGAAGGCCCGUAAUGGCGACCUCCAACACUACCCUCCUACCGCCACUUUCUCCACCGUCCUCCGACUCACAUUCCGACUCCGGCACCAGUUCCCGCCAGCACCAACACACUGACCUCUCCUCCACCAUCUUUAAAUCCUACCUAGAACUCACCGGUCACCAAUCCUCCCCUCAACAUCAAGACCUGAUAAAGAUCCAAUCGUUCCUUACUUCCUCUCGCUCUGGGGCUCUCUCAUGCCUCAUAUGCCUUGAACGGAUCAAACCCACCGAUCCCACCUGGUCCUGCUCCUCCCGCUGCUUCGCAGUCUUCCACCUCCUCUGUAUCCAAUCCUGGGCCCACCAAUCCUCAAAUCUUGCAGCUGCACGGGCUGCCUCACGCGCCGCCACUCUUAACGAUGACACCCUCCGCUGGCAUUGCCCCAAAUGCCGGAUCGAGUAUCCCAAAUCGCAGACCCCCAAGUAUUACUAUUGUUUUUGUGGAAAACUCGAAAACCCACCUCAUGAUCCCUGGAUUUUACCUCAUUCUUGUGGAGAAAUCUGUGGUAGGCCGUUGACAUACAAUUGUGGGCACGAAUGCUUGUUGUUGUGUCACCCAGGGCCCUGCCCCUCGUGCCCGAAAUUGGUUAAAACCAAGUGUUAUUGUGGGGCUAAAGAGGACGUGAGACGUUGCGGGUUUAAGGAUUUUUCUUGUAAAGGCGUUUGUAGAAAGACAUUAGCUUGUGGAAGCCAUAGGUGUGGUGAAAUUUGCCAUGAUGGUGACUGUCCGAUGUGUCGCAAAAAAGGGGUUUAUAAGUGCCAAUGCGGGAAGGUGGAGCUGGAAAGAGAGUGUUGUGAGAGGAUUUUUAGGUGUGAAAAUCCAUGCCAGAAGUUGCUUGGCUGUGGGAGGCAUGUUUGUGAGAGAGGGUGUCAUAAAGGUAAUUGUGGUGAGUGUCCACUCCAGGGGAAGAGGACUUGUCCUUGUGGAAAGAGAGUGUAUGAAGGGAUGGCUUGUGAUGUUGUUGUGCCUCUCUGUGGAGCAACUUGUGAUAAGCUGUUGAGCUGUGGAUUCCAUAGGUGCCCAGAAAGAUGUCAUCGCGGGCCUUGCAUUGAGACUUGCAGGACAGUUGUAACCAAGUCCUCCAGGUGUGGAAGCGCAAGGAAACAGGUAAUUCUUAAAGUGAUUGGUAAAAUGAGAUAAAUUCUUUUAUCAACGAAGUUGGGAUUGAGAUUGGUAAAUUGAUUUUAGAGCAGAUUCCUUGUUAUCAAGAUUCAACAAAGGAAAAAGGUUGACCAUAUUUUGUUUGACAUUUUUGCCCCUUUACUAUAUUCCUCCACUCCAUAUUGACCCUGUUACCGGAUGAGAAACCGCUGAAAUUCGGUAAAAUGACUUCGCUGGAGAGUUUUUGCGAGUUUAGUGACCUUUUCGGCCACAAAAAAAGUUUAGUGACCGGAGGGUGCCAUUUUUAAUAGUUUAAUGACCUUUUGGACCAUUCACUCUUAUUAUUAUUUGUUAAUUUUAUCUUAUCAUUUUAUUUUUUUUAAUUUGUUAAUUUGCUCACUUUUCAGCAUUACUAAUUUAUGACAAGUUUUAACCUUUUUUCCUACCUUUCCAAAAUGAAAUUUUAAAUUUACACAUGAAAAAAAUACUAGAGGUUCAAAAAUUUGCAUUAAGUUUAUAUGUUAACUUUUAUAAUAUUUAGUUCAAAUUUUUAUAUUCUUAUUGUUUAGUUAUUAAAUAGUGUGUAAUUUUGCAACAUAGAGUAUGGAUGGAGAAAAAUUAAUAAUUAAGUUUAUUAAACAUUAUAAGUAAAUAUUUAAAACUAAUGAUGGAUGUAAAGAAUGAUAUAAAUUGAUAGCUUAGUUAACAAAAAUGAAUUUAAAUGAGUUUGUAAAAAUGAAUUCAUGCAAGUUGGUGGAUUAACUUUGAACUAGGAGGCGAUCACCGUGCUUGCGCACGGUGGUAAAGUGUAAAUCUGCCCAGGAUCAAACGCUAGAUAACAUUUGUUGUUAUGUAAUCAGUGUUCAAAAGUGUGCUGUGAAGUCAUUUGUUAUCGGAUUAAAUUAAGAGAUCGUGUUAAUGAUCCAUGGCAUAGAAAAGAGCGGAAAGGGUAUUAUAUAAAGUGUAUUCGUGAAUAAGGUUGAUAUUUGUAAGGUUAAGUUUAAAAUAGCGAACUUCUAUUUAAAGGGAAAAUAAAGUAGCAAGGAUUCUUGAGCAAUCCUGUCUAGCCGAGAAGGAGUGCGCUUUCUUUGUCUGCUAGACCGGCUUGAAACAGCAUCUGUAGGACCAAUAUUGAUGUCAUCAGGAACCGCAAUAAUUAGGUGGCUAAAAGAACAGACAUCGAUAAAUUAGCACAAGAAACUAAUGGACAACCUGUGCCGGACGAAACUGUAGAUAACAAAGCACGCUCUAUAGUUUCAGGAGCUAAUGCUUCGCAAAGCUGGCUGGGGGUUGACGCCAUACAUGCCAAAGAAUGAUCCACAGGUUGAGAAGCUGGUGCUUCACGAAGCUGGCCAAUGGAAGGAACAACAGCUUGACCAUGCGAACACUGGCCAGAACAACGAGGAAUAAGUACACUUGCUUCCACCUGGACCAAAGGUGCAGCCUGAGAGGUGGCAACAGGCUCAAGCACAUGAUCUAAAGCGGAAGGGAGCAGCUUUCUUCUCUUCGCAGCAUAAGACUGCUGUCGUCGGCGCAAAAGAUCAUUCUUGUUAUCCUGGGGCAUUUCCCGGCAGCGCUUGCGACGCCUUACAUUUCUAUCCAUGGAACUCGAGAGCGCUAAGCAAACAGUGGAAGCCACUUCAAAACACAAUGUCCUUGAAAGAGAAGCAAUGAGCUUCCCAACAAGGGAGGAUAUGAAUCCACCAGUAAGGCAUUAGUGAAAGAAGCAAACAAAAAGAGAUAGCAAAGGAAGGAGGGGAAAGCAAGAGUAACAGCAACGUUCGGCUAUCCAACAGUGCAUGCAUGGAAUAAUGUGCAAAGUACACACGGGUAGUGAAUGGGUGGUGAAUGGGUUUCAAUGAAGGAAUGAGCGGAUCAAGUACAGAGGACACAAACGAAAUAUAAAUAAAGGAAAAAGCCAGUAAUGAUGCAGGACACAACUAAAUGCACGAGGAUGAAGAGCUGCAUCUUUCGCCCUUAAUGAUGCAGAACACAACUAAAUGCGCGGAAGAGCAGCUAAACAGCAAUAACCAGCACAAAACAGGAAAAUAACAAACUACGCAGGGAACAGAAUGGAAUACAAACGAAAACAAGAUACAAGAAUAGAAAAAGGAGCGUAAAAAAAGAAUAGAAUAGGUACCUUCUUUGGGUAAUAACAGAAAGAACAACGCCGAAGAUGACGGCAACGGGAGGGAAAAUGGACAGUAUUACGGGCUAAAUGAACGCAAGAGCAAAGAGAGUGCAAGUAAACAACGUACGCUGCAGAAGAGGAGACAAAGAAGAUGGCGCACAGGUACAAAGAGAUAAGGCCAGAGGUUGAAUAAUAAUAAGGGCGAAAGAUGCAGCUCUUCAUCCUUGUGCAGAGAAAGAACCGCUAAGAAUAUAUGAAAAGUAGAGAAGAAAAUGCACGGGAAGGUAGCAAGAGAGAUCUUGGAAAUCAAAGGAAUCAUUAGGUUCCGCCGAUAAUACAGAGCAUGCUAGCAGAAUUUAAUGCUAAAUAAAUAUAAUGAUCAUGUCCAAAGAGGGGAUUCUAAAGAACCGCCGGAGAAUCUUUAAGCCCAGAGGUUGUAUAGGCAGGCCAGAGGUUGUAGAAGAAAAUGCACGAGAAGCUAGCAAGAGAGGUCUUGGGAAUCAAAAGAAUCAUUAGGUACUUCCGCCACUAAUACAGAGCAUGCCAUCAGAAUUUAAUUCUAAAAAAGAAUGAUCGUGUCCAAAGAGGGGAUUCCAAAGCACCGCUGGCUACAAGCAGUCCGUUGUUUAUGUAGAGACUUAAGACUUAAAAGCGCAAUCAUGCUUCCUGAGUUCCAAAGCAAGGGAAAAAGUGGGCAGGGCGGUUGGGAUUUAGAAAAAAGGCAAAAUAAUGAAAAGAAAAGGAAAAAAAAAACAGCAAUACAACUCUUUCACACGUGAAACUCACAUGGAGGACGACCAAACUAUCGAACCAUCUUCCCGGUUUAUACUACAUAUUCUAAUAAAGCUAGAACCGAUGAAUGGAGAAUCCAUAAUCCAUCCCACAUAUCAUACCGGAAAGCAACUGCAGGAACCAUCAAAAUGGGGACCCAUCAUCUGCUAUCCCCAUUCCCCACAUAUCUUUCUUUUUUUGGGCUUUUGAUGAUGGCAGCCGACUGCUCGACACAGGCCGGCAGCCAUCAUAUUUAUAAGAAAAAGUUGCACGUGGCUGCCGGGCUGACAACCCAGAAAUUUUUAAAAAUUUUUUUUUUUAGUGCCAGGCUAAAUCAGCCAUAGUUUUGUACUAUAACUCUGUCAGAACUUUAUUCUUGAGAUUUUUUUUUCGAACAAUAUUCUGAGCAAUUAGCAAUUACAAUUUUGAUUCCAAGUGUUUGAGGUAUGAAUGCUUUUAGUCAUUAAAGUUUGGAUCAAAACAAAUGUAGUCUCAAAUAUUUUAGUUUUUAUGCAUAUUUAGUCCCAAUGACUUACUUUUACCGUUUACUAUUGGAAUUUGGUCAUAUGCUAGCAACUAAUUUUCAAAAAAAUAGAAAAACCUAAUAAAAAAAUUGCUAGCCAUAAUCUCUGUAAUAAAGAUGAGUAAUUAGUCUUUUUGAAACAAAGUAAUUAGUCUUUAACCUAAAUUUUUGUUAAUUGAAUUUUUGUAUUAUUGGGCUAAAGACUAAUAACAGGCGAUCUACAGUGAAUAAUUAAUUAUCUUUUACUACAAUUUAUGGCCAACAACAUUUAGUUCAAGUUUAAAAUUCUUUUAAAAAAAUUAAUUACUGUUAUGUAGUAGUAUGUGAUCGGAUUGCAAUAGCAAUUGGUAAAAAUUAGUCAAUAAGAUUAAUGGGCAAAGAUUGAAAUAUUUGGAACUACAUGUACUUUCUUCCAAAUUUAGGGAUUAGAAAUGCUUAUGCUUCAAAUAUUUGAAUCCAAAACUGCAAUUUUUUCAAUAUACAAGAGAGUUUUGGUCUAAACCUUUUUCUCUUUGAAAAUGAAUUUUUGGGAUAUUAUAUUUUGAAGUGGGCUGCAAAAGUUAAAAAGAAAGAAAGAAACAAAAGCCCAAGUGAGGGAUGUAAGUGAGACUUUUCAAAAUUCAAGAGUGCCAAGUGGCACUGUUAGAAACCUCAAGGGAGGUUUCUGAAGUUAUCCCUUCUAUCUUUACAUACUUUGUCCAGCUUCAAGCAGCCUUGAGUUUCCGUUGCCAUCUCCGCCCUCGAGUCUGCCUUUCGUCCUCCUUUGCUCCCGCUCCUCUCCAAAUUCCACCACCACCAGCCGCCGUGCAUAUGAUGUGAAAGCCUCCUCGUCCUCUUUGCCCUUUUAAUUUUCCUUCUCCUUCUCUUGAAUCACUGCCACCCAAUUGCUGUUUAGUGAAGGGUCUUCAAAGAGAGAAUUUUGGGUUAAAGGUUGAUUUGUUAUGGCUGUCUUUCUGUGCAAUUCCCAAGUCGAUUUCAAUAGCUGAAUUGGAAAGGUGAGUUCUGAAAUUUCUCAUUCGACCACCACUCAGCAUCCACUUAGUAUUAUGCUAAAAAGAUCAAAGCAUUUGCCUCAUCCUCGUCGAAAAACCCAAUCUUUACCCUUCAAGAAUGUAGUUUCUGCAAUUUUGAUUAGUGGGAUUUGCAGUAAUAGUACCAAUAAUAUUGCCAAAGCUGCAGCUUCAGAAUCUGAAAAUGAAUGGGAAAGUUUGCUCAAACCAUUUGACCUCAAACAGCUUAAGAAAGUACUCAGUAAAAUUACCCCUUAUCAGCUUAGCAAGUUUCUGGCUCUUCCUUUGGAUGUGCCCACAUCCUUGGAGCUAUUUCGGAAGGCUAGUGCCCAGAAAGGCUAUUGUCACACUUUUGAUGUGUACUAUACUUUGAUUGAUAAACUUGGUGCUGCUAAGGAGUUUAAGGCUUUAGAUAAACUGUUAUUGCAGAUGAAGGAGGAUGGGAUAGUUUUCAGGGAGUCCCUCUUCAUUAUGAUCAUGAAGCAUUACGGUAGAGCUGGUUUACCUGGUCAAGCCACUAGGUUGCUUUUGGAUAUGAGGAAGAUAUUUUCUUGCGAACCAACGUUUAAAUCGUAUAGUGCUGUGUUGGGAAUUCUAGUGGAUGGUAAUUGUCCUAAAGUUGCUGUUAAUGUCUUUUAUGAAAUGCUUAACAAAGGUGUCUCCCCUAGCGUUUCAUGUUUCGCCAGAGUAAUAAAAGCGCUAUGCAUGAUUAAUGAAGUGGAUUCUGGGUGUUCACUUCUGAGAGACAUGACGAAACAUGGGUGUGUGCCCAAUUCUAUAGUUUACCAGACAUUGAUUCAUGCACUUUCCAAGGCCAAUAGAGUAGGUGAUGCCUUGAGGCUUUUGGAGGAGAUGUUUCUUAUGGGCUGUAUACCAGAUACCAAUACUUUCAAUGAUGUUGUAACUGGCCUUUGCCAUUCCAGUCGAAUUCAUGAGGCUGCCAAAUUGGUUGAUCGAAUGCUUGCUCGGGGUUUUGCCCCUGAUGCUAUAACGUAUGGAGUUUUGAUGCAUGGUUUUUGCAGAACAGAUCAAAUAGAUGAAGCCAGGGCCCUGCUAUACAGAGUGCCCAAUCCCAAUAUUGUUCUGUUUAACAUUUUGAUCAAGGGAUUUGUGGCCUCUGGUCGUUUUGAUGAAGCAACAGCUCUUAUCAGGGAGGGCCUGAUGAAUGUUGGCUUGCAGCCGGAUAUUUAUACAUAUAACAUCUUGAUUCAUGGCCUUUGCCAAAAGGGUUGUUUGGUGUCAGCUUGUGAAGUUCUUGAGGAGAUGUCAAUCAAGGGUUGUAAGCCCAAUGUGAUCACAUAUACUAUUCUGAUUGGGGGAUACUGUAAUGAAGGACGUUUAGAGGAGGCUAAUGAACUUUUGAUUGAGAUGUCAUCGCAAGGUCUUAGUUUAAAUGUAGUCGGAUAUAACUGUCUUGUCUCUGCUUUGUGCAAGGAUGGAAAGAUCCAGGAGGCAUUAGAAACUUUUGGUGAUAUGUCAAGAAAUGGAUAUAAACCAGAUAUAUUUACAUUCAACUCUUUAAUAUUUGGGUUUUGCGUGGUUGAUAAGAUGGAAGAGGCACUUAGCAUGUAUCGUGAUAUGUUGCUUGAGGGGGUUAUUGCCAAUACUGUUACCUACAACACAUUGAUACAUGCUUUCCUGAAAAAAGGUGCAAUCCACGAGGCCCUUAAGCUUGUAAAUGAUAUGUUGUUUAGAGGAUGUGCCCCUGAUGAGUACACAUAUAGUAGCCUUCUACAUGCACUGUGCAAAGAUGGUGCUGUUGAGAAAGCAUUGGGACUUUUUGAGGAAAUUUUGAGAAAGGGAGUCUAUCCUAAUAACAUAUCCUGCAACAUUUUAAUCAAUGGCUUGUGCAAAAUUGGCAAGGUACAAAAGGCACUUGAAUUUUUAAGAGAGAUGAUUCAUCGUGGAUUGACACCUGAUAUAGUUGCAUACAACACUUUGUUAAAUGGUCUAUGUAAGUUGGGUUGUGUUCGAGAAGCAACAAGCCUUUUUGAUAAAUUGCAGUUUGAAGGCAUUAGUCCGGAUCCCAUCACGUAUAACACUCUUAUAAGUUCCUAUUGUAGAAUGGGCAUGCUUAAUGAUGCCCAUAUGCUCUUAAAUAGAGGCGUGGCCUGUGGAUUUAUACCUAAUGAGGUGACAUGGCAUAUCUUAGUCAGGAACUUUGUGAAAAAGGGUACACAAGAGAAUCAAACAUUUUCUGGAUAUUCCAACUGUUUAUUUUAGUACUCAUUAUGUGAAUGUUCUUGUGGGGAAUCCAUUAUGAAAUUCUUUUGCUUUGCUGAAAAAACCAUUAUAAUUAUUGGGAUUGUUUUAGCAAUCCCAGUUGUUUAAGGAAGCCAUAUAGCAUACAUUGGAAACAAUCCCAGUUGUUUGAGAAAGUCAUAUAGCAUAGAUUGGAUAGAUGCAUAUAUACUUUAGUCAACUUUAACUAGGUUUGCAUCCAUUGAAGUUUUAGCUGCAAUCUGUUGAAAUGCUCAAUGCGGCUUCAGACCUGACUGUUGUAUGGGCACAGGGUUCGAAACCUGCACUUCUUCAAAUUAUAACUAUAUAAAAAGCAUCAUGGUUUGCUACCAUAACAUGGACUGAUUAUACGGUAAUUUCAAGUAACUCUGGUGGCUUUUGUAUUAGACUGAGUUUGCCUAUAAAGACAGUUGUUGUUGUAACUGUUGUUCCUUUAGUUCCUGCAGUGAGUGGCCGGUGCAAGAAGGUCUGUUGGAACUGCUGACUGAUUGCUGCUUUUGAGAGAGCUUGCUUACCAGAUCAGUUAGGCCAAAGAGUUUUGUGCGAACUACAGAUUCUGGAGAUUUACCCGGAUACUUAAACUCUGUGGUGAGAAUAUAAGUUUCUUGAUUUUUGCUUCACCUCCAGCUUACAUGUGUGUAUGAAUUGUUUACAUGCAUGUAUAAAUUUACAUGUAUAAUUGAUUAGAUUCAGGCAGAGCAUAUGACUGGCAUAUGCACAUGAAUUAUUGGCUUUGGUCUUAUUAAUUCAUUACUGACAGUUGAGGGUUGCAUGGUUAUGAAUUGCUUUUUUUUUUGUGGCUCUUGAUGCAUUUGCUUAUAUAAUUGAGUAUUGUGUUUGACAUAAACAAGUGAGGCCAGAGGUUUGCCGUGCAUAUCCACAUGAAUUAUUGGUUUUGCGCUUAUGAAUUUGUUACUCACAAUUGAGGUUUCAUUUACUUGAUUUGCUUGUUCUGCUUUUGAUGCCUUCCGUAUUAUAAUUGAGGCCUGUAUUUGACAUGAACAAGUGAGGUUAGUGGUUUCUGUUGAGUUACAAUUGUGAUAAAUGAUAAUGAAAGCUUAGGUCUGGUUCUUUUGGAAGGUAAAUUCUUCACUCUAUCUCUGCCCUGAUCGUAUAUUUUUGCUGUACUGUAGUUCUGUUGCUGCAUGCAGAUUGACUGUGGGUGUUGAAUUUAUUGAUCUGUCAAUAAGAUUCUGUGUGUGCAGUUGAUUAAAGUUAUGCAUACCACAUGAUUUAUAUAUUUACAAGGCUCAUUUGACCGAUUGCUGUGAAUUUUUGUAUGAUAUUCAGGGCUGGUCUCCUUUGAUCAAUACUAGAUCAAUGCUAGAUGGUUGAAAGCAGUUAAGAGUUAUCCAUGUUACCAGCUAUACUUGGUCUUCCUACAACUGAUCUGAAAUUAAACUGAAGAAUGGUAAACCAAACUUAUAACUGGGAUUCAGGGAAUCAGAUUUGUGUGCAUGUUGACUGAACUAUAAUUACAUUACGGUGCAAGAAAAACAGCUAGACUUAUUUCUCUGAACGAGAAGGUCAACUUUCUAAUCUUGUUUCGUUUCUUUACUUUUGUAUAUCCAAAUUCGCAAAUGUAUUGGUUUAUCUUAACAUGGGGUAAUUGAUAGUUUGUUGAUAUGUGUCUCAAUGAUGGACAUUCUAUCAAAUCUGAUUUAUAAAGGCAGUAUUAGAUGUAGAUGGAUUACAGUUAAGCAUCUAAUUCAUCCUUUUCUCUGAAGUCUAUUUGACUUAGAACAUAGAAGCUACUUUGCAGAAUCCUGAAGCAAAAAGAAACAUGUGAAAGGGUGUUUAUAGUAUUCAUCAGGGUGAAAGUUUAAAAGAGGUGUGGGUUGCCUACAGGAUUUUGAGUUCUUAAAUUUCUCUGAUUAUAUAACAAAUGGAGCAGUAACACGUGUUGCGAUGCUUCACUUCAUAAAGCAACCAGCUGAAGACGAAUGCUUCACUUCAGCCAACUCCUAAUCCAGCAAAGCACCAUGUGGAGGGUGAUAUGUCAAAGCCUUCUUGCACCUCAACCUCUAGAAUUCUCUCAUUACUUCCGUGAUUUCAUCUCUUUCCCAUCUUACAUAUGUCUCUUCCUCUGCCUCUGUUGGCUAAUCACUACCAGCGUCACUGCUGCCACCACCACUGAAGAAUAAACUCAAAUAAAGAAAAACACAGCUCUCCAACCUCAGUCACCUCCAAAACCACCACCACCACCACCACCACUGAAGAAUAAACCCUAAAUUAGCUGCUAACUAUCGAACAAAGCUUGUGCUGAGAAAUGAGAUUGCUACAAUAGAAUUUAGACCAUAUAUAAUUUAUUUGUUGAGUAAUUUGGUAUUUGGAUCAUUUAGUCAUCAUGCAUUGAUGCCUUUCUCUACAGACUCAGUUAGAGACAUGAUGAAGAAUCCACUGUGUUUGGUCCAGUUCCACAGUUUCCACUUUCUGCCCCACUCUAUCCGUCGUCAACUAUUAUCCAUCAAUCACUGACGAACAAACUGUUUAAAGUUCCUCGCCUAAUUCUCCACAAAGCUUUCAGAUCGCAAAUCCUCCUCUUCUUGCAUUCGUAACUGGUAGGCUUUCUCUUGAUUAAUCUUGUAUUAUAUAAGAUUUUGACAAAUUUUGAAGUAGAUGAGACAUGUCAUUAUUUUAGUAUUGUACUUUUUCCUCUUUGCAUAGCUACUAUGUUUUGCUUUUUCUGAUUAUUUGCAUUUUUAGCACUUACUUUUCUUUCUUCCGAGUGUGUUUCCUGAAAUGCAUGUUGCAGUUGAAACCUUCUUCAAAAGUAAGCUCUUCUCAUCAUUUUUUAUCUGUCAUAUGAGGGUGAUGAAUCCAUGAAGCUAUCUAUGAUGUAGGUCUUUCAAUUUCUUCAGACUUUUGCCACCUUUUUUUAAUCUUUUCCAUCAAAUAUUUCAGAUAGUUACAAUGCUGAACAAAAAUUCAAGUAUAAUAGGAUGGAACAUUCAUGAGAUUUUGACUUGCAGGCAUGAUAUAUUAUGUAGGUUAAACUUCUUUUUCUUUGUCGAUGACUUAUAUUUGCUUAUAUAAUUGAAUGAGGUGCACUUUCUUAUUGAAGAUAUUAAGCUUUUGCAGGACUAGUGAGACUACAAAAAUCAAAUGUUUUUCCUUUGCUUCACUGAUCUUUUUCUUAGUGGAGAACGUCAUUUCUUCUCUUCUCCUUGGUGCACUUUAUUGGAGAUGAGUUAUUAAAAGUGAGAUUGUGACGCCCCUACUUCUCCCAAGAGCGAAUCCGAGCGUAUCGGCGGGACGCCUGCUUAACUCGCGUUAGGACUCAAAAACACAGAACAAUAAAAACUAGAUAAAUCAAAAGAGUACUAUUCACAAUAUAUACAACCCCAAAAGAGUUCUAUUUACAUCUUCAAAAGGAGUUAUCCAGACUACUACAUUAUCCUAUGCUAGUAAUCAAAAGUAGAAAGUAGACCCAAAGAGGGGUCCUUAUUCAGAUCAUCAAAACAAGAAGAAACAUCUUAAUUGUUUGGCUAUUAUAAACCAAGCCUAACUAUUUUAGUGAUAAGUUUCCCGCAUCGGCACCUGUUAAGGAAAACCAAGGGAAAGGGGUAAGUUAUAUGCUUAGUAAGUAAACAGGGGUAAAAACGUAAGGUUCACAUUAAAACGAACAAUUACGUCACAAAGAUGUCAAAUCGAAAAUAUAAAAGUAACAACACAAGUUAAGAAUACAGGUUGGCUCCAAAGUCACGUCAUGUGCCAUGUAUGACCUCCUGUCGACCACCGAUAAGGGUUUGUAGAACUGCACUUGUACUCCCACUUAACACCUUAUCGUCCUUACUGGUCAGUUAUCUCAUGAAAUGGCUCGAGCAAACGAAACGAAAUUGAACUUGAUUCACAAGUUCGGUUCACAAACUUGGUUCACAGAACCACAAACUUAGUGACCUUAAUACUAGGUUGGACUGAUUUCGACCAAACCCUGGCCGGCUCGAAUAGUCCGUCUAGGUCUUGAGAUCGGGUCCCACAAAAGUCACAUCGAACUACAAGUUCAAGGGGUUCAACACCAAAAUAAUUCAUAUAUACACAUCUCAUAAAGAAGCACAAGUGCAAAUUAGGGUUUAGGUCGAGUGUGAUCAAGUACACCAUCGCCUAAGUACCCUCUCAUCCACAUGAAAGCACAUAAGCAAGUUAUGCACAAAAACGACUUGAAUACUUACACAAAAUACAAAGAUAGCACAAGGGCGAAAAUCACUUCGCAUGUGAUAGCUAGUAGGCCUCACUGGCUCCGUCUAGCUCGCCACCGUCUGUAAUAGAAGGUUGCACCACAUUAUUACACAAACCACUACUAAAGUGCGUAUAUCAAGUAAAACGGCAAAAUGGGCACAUGCACGCGCGGAAACGGCCGGCAAACGGAAACGGGUAGAUUUGGCACCUAGAACUGUUUUGAUCAAUUUUCAAGCUACGGUUAUCGGAUCGAAGUGCAUGAGGUACCGUUGCGAAGCUAAGAAGAAGGGCUACAACUUUCAUGAAGACACCUCAAGCCAGAUCUUAAUGGGACUAGGACAAAAAUGCACAAGACAGUCCCAGCCGUUUCAAUUCAGGUUACCGAGCAGGCCCUGUUUGAACGACUAUAACUCAUGACUCAGAGAUCGGAAUCAAGAAAUUCCAGAGGCGUUGGAAAGUUCAUUUCUAAGGCUAUAACUUUUGUGUUUUGACCAAAAGUUGAAUCAGUACAGAGUAUAGGGAAAAACGGGUCCAAAGUUCCUGUCAGAACUGUCCAACUUCAAAGGCAAUUCUGACACCCGAUUUUGUUUUGGGUAUAACUAGAGUUACGGAACUCGGAUUUGGACGCACUUUAUACCGUUUUGAAACUGAAACAAAAAACUUUAUACGCACUUUAUACCAUUUCUAAUUCUUUGACUAAGUUUAUAUCAUAAGAUUUGUUAGAUAAUCCUAAGAAAUAAACAAAACAAAAACCAAAAGGAGAAAGAGGGAGAGAGGGCCGAAACUUGAAGCUUGAGAGGAGAAGAAAAAUUUCAGUUUCAAAACGGUAUAAAGUGCGUUCAAAUCCGAGUUCCGUAAUUUUAGUUAUACCAAAAAAAAAAUCGGGUGUCAGAACUGCUUUUGAAGUUGGAUAGUUCUGACAAGAAGUUUGGACCCGUUUUUCCCUAUGCUCUGUACUGAUUCAACUUUUGGAUAAAACACAAAAGUUAUAGCCUUAUAAAUGAGCUUUCCAAAGCCUUUUGAAUUUCUUGAUUCCGAUCUCUGAGUCAUGAGUUAUAGUCGUUCAAACAGGACCUGCUCGGUAACCUGAAUUGAAACGGCUGGAACUGUCUUGUGCAUUUUUGUCCUAGUCCCAAUGAGAUCUGGCUUGAGGUGUAUUCAUGAAAGUUGUAGCCCUUCUUCUUAGCUUCACAACGGUACCUCAUGUACUUCGAUCCGAUAAUCGUAGCCUGAAAAUUGAUCGAAACAGUUCUAAGUGCCAAAUCUGUCCAUUUCCGUUUGCCGGCCGUUCCUGUUUUCGUUUGCCAUUUCCGCGCGUGCAUGUGCCCGUUUUGCCGCUUUGCUUGAUUUAUGCACUUUAGUAGUGGUUUGUGUAAUAAUGUGGUGCAACCUUCUAUUACAGACGGUGGCGAGUUAGACGGAGCCGGUGGGGCCUACUAGCUAUCACACGCGAAGUGAUUUUCGCCCUUGUGCUAUCUUUGUGUUUUGUGUAAGUAUUCAGACCGUUUUUGUGUAUAACUUGCUUAUGUGCUUUCGUGUGGAUGAGAGGGUACUUAGGCGAGGGUGUAAUUGAUCACACUCAACCUAAACCCUAAUUUGCACUUGUGCUUCUUUAUGAAAUGUGUAUAUAUGAAUUAUUUUGGUGUUGAAUCCCUUGAACUUGUAGUUUGGGGUGACUUUUAUGAGUCCCGAUUUCAAGAUCUAAACGGACUAUUCGAGCCGGCCGGGGUUUGGUCGAAAUCAGUCCAACCUAGUCUUAAGGUCACCAAGUUUGUGGUUCUGUGAACCGAGCUUGUGAAUCAAGUUCAAUUUCGUUUCGUUUGCUCAAGCCAUUUCGUGAGGUGACAGGCCAGUGAGGGUGAUAAGGUGUUAGGUGUGAGUACAAGUGGAGUUCUACGGACCCUUAUCGGUGGUCGACGGAGUGUCAACAGGAGGUCAUACAUGGCACAUGACGUGGCUUUGGAGCUAACCUGUAUUCUUAACUUGUGUUGUUACUUUUAUAUUUUCGAUUUGACAUCUUUGUGACGUAAUUAUUCAUCUUAAUGUGAACCUUACGUUUUUACCCCUGUUUACUUACUAAGCAUAUAACUUACCCCUUUCCCUUGGUUUUCCUUAACAGGGGCUGACGCGUGGAAUAAUUGGCACUAUCACUAGAAUAAUUAGGCAAACAACUAAGAUGUUUUUUCUUGUUUUGGUGAUCUGAAUAAGGACCCCUCUUUGGAUCUACUUUCUACUUUUGAUUACUAGCAUAGGACAAUGUAGUAGUUUAGAUAACUCUUUUUGAGGAUGUAAAUAGAACUUUUUUGGGGUUGUAUAUAUUGUGAAUAGUACUCUUUUGAUUUAUCUAGUUUUUGUUGCUUUGUCUUUUUGAGUCCUGGCGUGGGGGCGUCACAGGUGGUAUCAGAGCGCCUAGGUUAGAGGAUUUGAGUAAUUGGGACAUACAUGAUAGGCAUUAGGAAUAUGUGAUUCUAUUUAAGAUGAAUGAUAUAUUUUAAGCUGAAAUAUCGAAGAACUGACCAAAUAAUGUUUUGUAGGUAUGGAGGCCGGAGAACCUAGUGGAUCGGGACCUGAACCGAGACCUCUAAGUGCAGGGGGCCCGGUGAACCAGGUAUUACGCCGGCGUGUGCUUCGAUAUCAGAAAAGGUUUGGGGGGCCGUAUACGUUGUGCUCACCUUUUUGCCAAAUGGACCGGCCAUGUGAGUGUCGAUACAUAUUCGGUUAUCCCGAAGAGGUCGUCCUAGCAGUGGACGACGAGCGACGUCGCCUGAGGAAGGCGGCUGAUCGUUUGGCUAGACAGCUGGAGGAGGUUAGAGAAAUUGCCCACGAGCAGGCUAUGCACAUUAGGGAUUUGGAGCAGGGCCUCCGAGUUGAGGUGGAAAGGACGGACGCUAUUCGUCGUCAGCUCUAUGACACACACCAGCACCUCUUCGCUAUGAAGGGGCAACUGAGGGAGAGGGCUCGGGUAUCAUGCUGGACUGUGAUGUCCUGUUAGAUGUGGCCGCGGAGGCACUACCACGAGCUACCGGCCCAGAGCUGAUGGACGAGAUGAACACUUUUGGUUCCGUUGGGGAUUGGGGCCAUAGGGAAGGCGCGUAGGGCCGUUGUUGGGAUUUCCUUUUGACUAUCUGGCAUGUUUGUUUUUGUUAUAACCAGUAUGCCUGGUUUCUUUUGUUAUCUGAUGGUUGACUAUAUUUUUGGAGCCGAAGUGCUAAUGUAAAUAAUGGGUUUUGUACCGACCAGAUGUCAGAUAACUUGUAUAUCUUUUAGUGUGACUUUGUAAAUAUAUGUAUAUAUUUGAAUAUAAUCUUUUGAAUUUAUAUUUUGCGUGUCUUUUGUGCAUAUGCUUUGUGUUUUUUAUUUUGUUCAUAGUUUGAAUAAUAAGUACACGUUAAGUUUCGAUUUAUAGACUUUUGAACCUAAAUGGACUCCGAUAGUCGAGAUAGAGGUAGAAGGUGAGGACGAAACCCCGAAGGAGAAAAUGAGAACGAGCCGGAUCAGGUAGCCUGAGUUAUUGUCGUUUACGCAUAGUGCUGUUAACUAGCCCGAAUGUGAGAUUCUGGUUCUGUAAUUUGAAAUUUUGACCUGGAUACACUACGAACUGGACUGAGUGGUCUUCAUCAAAGUUGUAGGCCUUUAUCUUAGUUUCGAAACGGUAUAAAUAACACCUUAAUCCGAUAAGUGUAUCUUCGGUUGUGUCCGUUACGCAAAACAACGUCAAAUCUGUCUUUUGUUUAUUAACUCAAACUUCAUUUUCGGACAUUUUCCUAGGUUGAUUUUGUACUUGUACGACAUUGAGCCGAUUGAACAGCUAUUGAAAUGGGAUGAUUUUGUGUGUGAUUUUGGGACGGAUUGAGAAAAAGAAUGAAGCCAUAAAUGGCUGAAAAAUAGGUAAAUACGAAGGGCAUGCUGCCCAAAUUUGCACUCGAGAACUAGGUAAGGAUUUGAUAACGAAUACCACUUGAACCAUCUAGGAUAUUUACGUCUUCUCUUAUUAAGGUAUAUAAGUUAGAAUUCGACCGGAACUUGUACCCUUGGAAAAAUGAAAUUUUCAACUAAUAGAAAUACAUUUUCUUUGUUAUUUCGACUCAAAUGAAGAUUUUAAAGUUUUACGAGUGAGCAUAAGUUUUACAAAUAUUUUACUUAUGUCAUUUGGUUUAAAUAUACUCUUUUCACUACCAAAACCCUAUUUAUACUUUGUACUAGUACGUAUUCGCAUUUUCUUUGAAUCACUUAAAUCUUUGAUGGUUGAAGCAUAAUGUGUUCUUUUGAUUAUAUUAGGGUUCCUUGGUGAUUAAGGGUGUUAUCCGGAAGGAUACUUUGGACGUUAUUUUGUGUAAAUAGGUGAGUGUUCUUUGUUUGAUAUGUUUCCAUGAAAUAUAUGAUUUGUUGUGGAUAUUUGAUUAAAUGAUAAAUGUUUGUUACAAAUGAAGUUUCCUAGGCGAGUGUGUACUUUAUCGCACUCAACCUGAAUGAAUGUGAAAUUUUCUAUGAUUAAAUGAUUAAAUGCUAGUUGCGCAUGAAUGUUAGCCGUUUGGUUGAACUGGACCCUUGCCCUUCGUUGCCGGUCAACUCGAGUCAGAAGCGGACUCGGUCGGGCGAUUUGGUGACCCUGGGUGAAAGUUUGGUAUACUCGAGUAUUACCACGUUGUCGGGUGGAGUCUGGCUAAUGUCCAGAAGGGAGAAGAUUGAAAUGAAUGAACGAGUGACAAUGUCAGUGGAGGGGUUUUCGUGUACAAAUUGCAUUUUAAAAUGAUUGGAGGAAUAAGGAAAUGAAAGGUGAAUGAAGGAACGAAAGGCUCCAUGUGAGGAUGUAUCCUUUUAAUGAAUGUGUUACCAUUGUUUUAUAUUGUUAAUGUUUCUUGAAUUACGUGUUGUUACAUGACUAAUGUUCUUGUUUAAGUUGAUUAUGUGUCUGGAAUCUCACUGAACUUUUAGCUCAUUCCGUUAAUUUUGUUUUCCUUACAAAGGAUGCGAGUAAGGGCGAAAGACCUAUAUAGAAUAACAUCGUCUAGUCCUUUUGAAAUUGUCCAUUUGUACCCGCUCUAGUGUUUGAUUAGGGUUGGAAGUAUUGGAACUUAAAUCUUUUGUUAUAUUUGGGUUGUAUUUUUUUGCGAGGAAGAAAUGAAUAUAAGUAUGCGUUUCAACUUUGGGAAUUGGUUUUGUUUUACUUUUUCUCGAGGUUUUAUCUUAUUUUGUUGAAGUAAAUGAAAGAGUCCCGGCGAGAGUUGGGCAGAGCGGCCGCUGAACCCUUUGGUUCGCCUUAGGGGGAGGUGGGGCCGUCACAGUUAGUCCUUAAGCGAACACACCAUUUAAAUUUGAAGCAUAAGCUAUAAGCUAUGAACCAAGUAUCCGCACUAUGCUUAUUAUAGCAACUACUAAUAAUGUGGUGCAAAAACUUGUGACGGCCCCACCUCCCCCAAGGCGAACCAAAGGGUUCGGCGGCCGCCUGCCCAACUCUCGCCGGGACUCGUUCAUUUACUUCAACAAAAUAAGAUAAAACCUCGAAGAAAAGUAAAACAAAACCAAUUCCCAAAAUUGAAACUCAUACUUAUAUUCAUUUCUUCCUAGUGCAUACUUAUACUCGAGUCAGAAGCGGGUACAAAGUUGAAACGCAUACUUAUAAUCAAGCACUAGAGCGGGUACAAAUGAAAAAUUUCAAAAGGACUAGACGAUGCUAUUCUAUAUAGGUCUUUUGCCCUUGCUCGCAUCCCCUGUAAGGAAAACAAAACUAACGGAAUGAGUUAAAAGCCCAGUGAGGUUCCAGACACAUAAUCAACUUAAACAAGAACAUUAGUCAUGUAACAACACGUAAUUCAGGAAACAUUAACAAUAUAAAACAAUGGUAACGCAUUCAUUAAAAGGAUACAUGCUCACAUGGAGCCUUUCGUUCCUUCAUUCACCUUUCAUUUCCUUAUUCCUCUAAUCAUUUUAAAAUGCAAUUUGUACGUGAAAACCCUUCCGAGUAUACCAAACUUUUACCCAGGGUCACCAAAUCGAGUAUACCAAACUUUUACCCAGGGUCACCAAAUCGCCCGACCGAGUCCGCUUCUGGCUCUAGUCGACCGGCAACGAAGGGCAAGGGCCCAGUUCAGCCAAACGGCUUACAUUCAUGCACAACUAACGUUUAAUCAUUGAAAAUUUCACAUUCAUUUAGGUCGAGUGCGAUAAAGUACACACUCGCCUAGCAAAAUUCAUUUGUAACAAAUAUUUAUCAUUUAAUCAAAUAUCCACAACAAAUCAUAUAUUUCAUGGAAACAUAUCAAACAAAGAACACUCACAUAUUUACGCAAAAUAACGUCCAAAGUAUCCUUCCGGAUAACACCCUCAAUCACCAAGGAACUCUAAUAUAAUCAAAAGAACACAUUAUACUUCAACCAUCAAAGAUUUAAGUGAUUCAAAGAAAAUUCGAAUACGUACUAGUACAAAGUAUAAUAGGGUUUUGGUAGUGAAAAGAGUACAUUUAAACCAAAGGAUAUAAGUAAAAUAUUUGUAAAACUUAGUCUCACUCGUCAAACUUUAAAAUCUCCAUUUGAGUCGAAGUGACAAAGAAAACGUAUUUCUAUUAGUCGAAAAUUUCAUUUUUCCAAGGGUACAAGUUUCGACCGAAUUCUAAUUUAUAUGCCUUAAUAAUAGAAUACGUAAAUAUCCUAGAUGGUUCAAGUGGUAUUCGUCCUCAAAUCCUUACCUAGUUCUUGAGUGCAAAUUUGGGCAGCAUGCCCUUCGUAUUUACCUAUUUUUCAGCCAUUUAUGACUUCAUUCUUUUUCUCAAUCCGUCCCAAAAUCACACACAAAAUCAUCCCAUUUCAAUAGCCGUUCAAUAGGCUCAAUGUUGUAUAAGUACAAAAUCAAUCUAGGAAAAUGUCCGGAAAUGAAGUUUGAGUUAAGAAACAAAAGACAGAUUUGACGUUGUUUUGCGUAACGGACACAACCGAAGAUACACUUAUCGGAUUAGGGUGCAAUUUAUAAUGUUUCGAAACUAAGAUAAAGGCCUACAACUUUGAUGAAGACCACUCAGUCCAGUUAGUAGUGUAUCCAUGUCAAAAUUUCAAAUUACUGAACCAAAAUCUCACCCGAAAAUUUUCCCAUUUUCUAGACCUUAUUUUAUUUUUGCCUACAUUUUUAUACUUGCCUUUACAAUAUUAAAGUUUCUAUGCAUUUUUAUAAGCAAGUACAGUUUUAAAUCAUUUUCCUAGUAUGAGUUAGUGUACGUUAAAUUUGAAACGCAUUAUAGACGUGGGACCCGCUAGUGCGAUAAAUUUUGGUGAUUAAGAGUGAGUUUUAGAUUAUAUUAAGAAUAUGAUUAGAAGUGAUAAUAAUAAGGUAGUGAAUUACAAGUUAAAACCCUAGUAUAUGCGAUUUAGGGAAAAUCAGUUCAAACCGACGAGUGCCGUUCACUACCGAUUGAACACACAAUUUUUAUCAAGUUAAUCUCUUUGAUAUUAGAGCUUAAAUAUCAGCUCAAAAUCUGAUCUUGAGGGCCGAAAUUUUUGACUUGGAAAACAAGAGAAAAGAAAAAAAAUUUGGAUUAACCAAAGUGUGACACUUGUUGGUUACUUAGAGACCUUUGACCAAGCCAAUUUUCUUUACUUCUUAUUUUCACUUUGGCUCCAUUUCUUCACCAUUUUUCCUUGGUUUGGCCGAGAGCAAGAAAGGGAGAAAGAGUGAAGAGAGCUUUCCAUUUCAACCUUGAAUCAAGCCUUGUGAGUGAAAAUAAGAACAACUAAACCGAUUAACUUGUAAAUUGGAAGCUUGGGAAGCUUAGGGAACUAAAAAUUUUAAGGGGAAGUGAAGGAGAACACUAGCAAGCUCUGGUUUUGAGGUAAAAUGGCUGACGACUCUUUUCUUUUCCCUUAAUCAUGUUGGAGUUGUUUAGUAUUUGUGAUUGUGAUGCUUAAAUCAAGGGAAUUUGGAUGAUUGGGGUGAUGCAUUUGAGUUACAGUUUGAAUGAUUCCCUUCUCAUACUUGUUGUAUGGAUGGUAUAUGAUGUAUAUAAGCUUGUAUAUGAGGUGGUAGUGAUGGUUUUAAACUAGAAAUGUGAAUUGUACUUUGACUUCCUAAAUUUCCAGAAUUUAAUUUCUUGCAUACCCUGUUCUGCCCGGUUCUAGUUCACCAUGUUAAAGGCUGAAUUAUGCUUAACCUAAAACAUAAAAGUUGUAGAGAAUGAUGUUUUAUAGUUGCCUGCAAAAUUUCAUCUCAAUCGGAGCAACGUAGCCUAUGAAAAGACCGAAAUACCCUGACUGCCCUUGGUGACUCCAGUGAUCAAUUUUGGAUAUUUCACCAAUCUAGUCGUGUCUUUUCACCAUGAUAUGUACUGAACUAGUAUUUAUCCAAAACAUGAAAGUUGUAGUACUAUGUCUUAGCUUUCCAACGCCCCUGAGAACACCUCAAUCGGACUUCGGUAGCCUGAGUUAUUGUCGUUUACGCAUAGUGCGGUUAACUAGCCCGAAUGUGAGAUUCUGGUUCUGUAAUUUGAAAUUUUGACCUGAAUACACUAUGAACUGGACUAAGUGGUCUUCAUCAAAGUUAUAGGCCUUUAUCUUAGCUUCGAAACGGUAUAAAUUGCACCCUAAUCCGAUAAGUGUAUCUUCGGUUGUGUCCGUUACGCAAAACAACGUCAAAUCUGUCUUUUGUUUCUUAACUCAAACUUCAUUUCCAGACAUUUUCCUAGGUUGAUUUUGUACUAGUACGACAUUGAGCCUAUUGAACGGCUAUUGAAAUGGGAUGAUUUUGUGUGUGAUUUUGGGACGGAUUGAGAAAAAGAAUGAAGCCAUAAAUGGCUGGAAAAUAGGUAAAUACGAAGGACGUGCUGCCCAAAUUUGCACUCGAGAACUAGGUAAGGAUUUGAGGACGAAUACCACUUGAAUCAUCUAGGAUAUUUACGUCUUCUCUUAUUAAGGUAUAUAAGUUAGAAUUCGGCCGAAACUUGUACCAUUGAAAAAAUGAAAUUUUCGACUAAUAGAAAUACGUUUUCUUUGUCAUUUCGACUCAAAUGGAGAUUUUAAAGUUUUACGAGUAAGCAUAAGUUUUACAAAUAUUUUACUUAUGUCCUUAGGUUUAAAUAUACUAUUUUCACUACCAAAACCCUAUUUAUACUUUGUACUAGUACGUAUUCUCAUUUUCUUUGAAUCACUUAAAUCUUUGAUGGUUGAAGCAUAAUGUAUUCUUUUGAUUAUAUUAGGGUUCCUUGGUGAUUGAGGGUAUUAUCCGGAAUGAUACUUUGGACGUUAUUUUGCGUAAAUAGGUGAGUUUUCUUUGUUUGAUAUGUUUCCAUGAAAUAUAUGAUUUGUUGUGGAUAUUUGAUUAAAUGAUAAAUGUUUGUUACAAAUGAAUUUUGCUAGGCGAGUGUGUACUUUAUCGCACUCAACCUAAAUGAAUGUGAAAUUUUCAAUGAUUAAAUGAUUAAAUGCUAGUUGCGCAUGAAUGUAAGCCGUUUGGCUGAACUGGGCCCUUGCCCGUCGUUGCCGGUCGACUCGAGCCAGAAGCGGACUCGGUCGGGUGAUUUGGUGAUCUUGGGUGAAAGUUUGGUAUACUCGAGUAUUACCACAUUGUCGGGUGGAGUCUGGCCAAUGUCCAGAAGGGGGAAGAAUGAAAUGAAUGAACGAUUGACAAUGUCAAUGGAGAGGUUUUCGCGUACAAAUUGCAUUUUAAAAUGAUUGGAGGAAUAAGGAAAUGAAAGGUGAAUGAAGGAACAAAAGGCUCCCUGUGAGCAUGUAUCCUUUUAAUGAAUGUGUUGCCAUUGUUUUAUAUUGUUAAUUUUCCUGAAUUAUGUGUUGUUACAUGACUAAUGUUCUUGUUUAAGUUGAUUAUGUGUCUAAGGAAAACCAAGGGAAAUGGGUAAACUAUAUGCUUAGUAAGUAAACAGGGGUAAAAACGUAAGGUUCACAUUAAGACGAACAAUUACGUCACAAAGAUGUCAAAUCGAAAAUAAAAAAGUAACAACACAAGUUAAAGAUACAAGUUGGCUCCAAAGCCACGUCAUGUGCUAUGUUUGACCUCCUGUCGACACUCCGUCGACCGCCGAUAAGGGUCUGUAGAACUCCACUUGUACUCCCACCUAACACCUUAUCACCCUCACUGGCCAGUCACAUCACGAAAUGGCUCGAGCAAAUGAAACGAAAUUGAACUUGUUUCACAAGCUCGGUUCACAAACUUGGUUCACAGAACCACAAACUUGGUGACCUUAAGACUAGGUUGGACUGGCUUCGACCAAGCCUCGGCCCGCUCGAAUAGUCCGUCUAGGUUUUGAGAUCGGGCCCCACAAAAGUCACUCCGAACUACAAGCUCAAGGGGUUCAACACCAAAAUAAUUCAUAUAUACACAUCUCAUAAAGAAGCACAAGUGCAAAUUAGGGUUUAGGUCGAGUGUGAUCAAGUACACCUCGCCUAAGUACCCUCUCAUCCACACCAAAGCACAUAAGCAAGUUAUACACAAAAACGGCUUGAAUACUUACACAAAACACAAAGAUAGCACAAGGGCAAAAAUCACUUCGCGUGUGAUAGCUAGUAGGCUCCACCGGCUCCGUCUAACUCGCCACCGUCUGUAAUAGAAGGUUGCACCACAUUAUUACACAAACCACUACUAAAGUGCAUAAAUCAAGCAAAACGGCAAAACGGGCACAUGCACACGCGGAAACGGCAAACGAAAACGGAAACGGCCGGCAAACGGAAACGGGCAGAUUUGGCACCUAGAACUGUUUUGAUCAAUUUUCAGGCUACGGUUAUCGGAUCGAAGUGCAUGAGGUACCGUUCUGAAGCUAAGAAGAAGGGCUACAACUUUCAUGAAGACACCUCAAGCCAGAUCUCAAUGGGACUAGGACAAAAUGCACAAGACAGUCCCAGCCGUUUCAAUUCAGGUUACCGAGUAGGUCCUGUUUGAACAACUAUAACUCAUGACUCAGAGAUCGGAAUCAAGAAAUUCUAGAGGCGUUAGAAAGCUCAUUUAUAAGGUUAUAACUUUUGUGUUUUGACCAAAAGCUGAAUCAGUACAGAGCAUAGGGAAAAAUGGGUCCAAAGUUCCUAUCAGAACUGUCCAACUUCAAAGGCAGUUCUGACACUCGAUUUUGUUUUGGGUAUAACUAGAGCUACGGAACUCGGAUUUGGACGCACUUUAUACCGUUUUGAAACUGAAACAAAGAUCUACAAGUCUUAUGAAGACCUCAACACCCAGUUCCUUCGUUAUCAAUGUGAACUGAGCACGGUCAGAAGCAAAAUCAAGAAACUUAGCACAAUUCAGAGUUUAGAACAGAAACGAGGGUUUUGGCCAUAACUCAGGCUACACAGAUCCGUUUGACCUGAAAUUUUGCAGGCACAACAAGCACUUAAGAAGAUAUAAUUUUCAUGUUUUGGGCAAACCCUAAAUCAGUACGUAGCACAAAGAAAAAUGUAGCCAAAGUUCAGAUUCUGGGCUGCCUUGUUUUCCAGUUUAACCGGUUUCGCACGUCGCAAACGCAUGGUCCGUUGCUAUGGUUCUCAUGCAAGUUUUCUAACCAAUUUCAUACCAAAUAAACACACAUAUACCAGCUCCUACAUCUUACACAACUAAUCCAAAGAUUCUCCAUGAAAUUCCACAAAAACUUUCCAAACACGAACCACAAUUUUGAACCUAGCGUUAUAUACAUCACUUAACCUAAUCCAACCAUUACUUAGCCAAACCCUAUCCAACCAAACCCUAACCAAGCUAAUACACCCUAUCUUAACCUAGGGUUUUUUUAUUCAAACCAGCCCUUGCUAUCAACCAACCAAACAAAUGAGGCAAAUCAUCAAACAUAUCAAUUGCAAGUUAAACAACACAAGAUUAGAACUAAUUCACAUGUGCAUCAUUAAACCCUAACUAGGGCAGCCAUAACCAAAAGUUUUGGAGCAAUAAACCACCAAUAUAAUCCAUGGAAACAUCUCACCAUCACUUCAUAAGCCAUAUUAAGGCUCAACAACAACCAUACACUUCAUUUCCAACCAUCUCAAAAAUCAUAAACCAAACUUAAACUUGCAAGAGCUUUCUUACCUUCAAACAAGGUUGAUAAGGGUGCAAACUACUACAACAAGCUCUCAAAGAGGUUCCUCCAAGCUCCAACUUCAAGAUUGAUGGACAAAAGUUGAUGCACCAAAGAAAUUUUUCUUCUCUUCUCAAGCUUCAAGUUUCGGCCCUCUCUCCCUCUUUCUCCUUUUGGUUUUUGUUUUGUUUAUUUCUUAUGAUUAUCUAGCAAAUCUUAUGAUAUAAAUUUAGUCAAAGCAUUAGAAGAUAUUUUCCCUAAUAACCAAUCACAUAAAAGCUUCAAUUUUGCUCUUUAGCCCUUACACUCCAACUUUGCAUGUGAUCAACUCUUGCCCCUAAACAUUUGAACUUCUUACUUUUUACUCCAUAGGAUCUAAACUUAAUCUAGUCCAAACUAAUUAAUCUUACUUAGUUUCUCUACUAAUCACCCCACUAACUUAGUCAUCUGUAUUUAACCAUGUAUUAACAUACACAAAUGCAAGUAAACACCAAACUUUUUGUCAUGGGAAAUAUUAAGGGUUUAAACCCAACUUAGGAUUCUAAUAAAUCAUAACACUAGAGAUUUUUUUCUAGUUUAGGGUUUUCUAAGGUUUUAAACUUACUUAACCUAUAUAAAAUGGAUCAGAUCUUAUACUUACCUGUACGAAAACACACACUAGCAUAACUACAACUCGAACUUAUGAUUAAUACAAAAACUAGGGUUUCAAUUCCUAACCCAAAUUAGGGUUUUCUAAUUAGCCCUAAAACCCAAUUUUACCGCACAAAUAAUUCAUCUCACAUACUAUCAAACUUAAGGACUAACCGGGGUCUCACAGAGAUGUUAUUGAUCUGUCUCUGGUCCCUGCUGAUGAGCUCAAGUUCCUUCUCUUUUGACAGCUUGAUGUAUCAGCUGUGCUAUUGGUUGUCAUCAACUAUCGUGCCAAUUGGUUGAAUUUGAAGGCCAAAGGUUUGUUUUACUGAACCUUUAUUUUUACUCAUUAAAUUGCAUGUGUUAUUUCCUUGUGCUACUAGAUUCCUUAGCACCAUGCAUGUUGAUAAUUAUCUCUUCAUUUCAAGUCGUAACAAUUGAGCAUUGCAUCAUUUUCUCCUACAUUCUUUCCCUUAAUUGUGGCUAAUUCCUUGGACUUAUUCUAUUAGCCUUGGAAAUCUAACUUUCUAACUCAAUGACUUAACAAAUUGGUUCUUUCUGGAGCUUUGUAAAAUGUCUAAAUGAGACAAGGUGAUAACAUUGUAGGUUGUCUAUUGAUUAAGUAUGGGAGAGCUUUGGUUAUGUUAAACUGGAGCAUUGAAGCUUAAUAUGGUACUUUUCUUUGGAUGCAUUAUUUUCUUUGAUAAAGUUUAGCUUUAUGCCUUUUUAUUUGUGAGACUUUUACCUUUACCUUCUAUGCGUAUAUCUUUCCAAAAACUUAGGCUUGAUUUUAAAAAUAAAAAGAUCGGAACUAGAAAGCCUUUUAAUAAAUGCAUCUGUCAAUUUUAACUCUAUUGAAGCUGGAAAAUAGAGUGAAGGAGCACAUGUUGUUUCAUGCUUAAUGUGGCAUUUCCCCUCCCGUUCUACACAAUAACAACCUGAACUCUUGUACCCUUUACAGGAAACAGAUGAGCAUCGGAAAAAUGUACCUUGGGGUAAGUUUUUUCUCAUUCUCUAGGAAUUGCUUGUUUAUAUUAAUCUUUUCUUUCUUUCAACUGCUCUUGAAAGAUUUUGAUUUCUUGAACAAAAGAAGAAUUAGAGAGCCAGAUUAGUUGACUUGUUAAGUUGGUCAACUGACUGAUUCACUGCCAAAACCUUGUUAUAUGAUGUGUGCUUGCUUCCUGAUGAACUUUUUUUUUUUUCAAGUGUAACAAAAGCUUGAUCAGAUAAUGAUACUUUGUGUUAUUGUAUGUAUUUAGAUAUGAGGAUAACAGAUAUGUAACCCCACCAAAGGUUCAUUGUACUCUAGAUGGAUAAUAGUCAUUCUCAGGUCCUUAGCUUAACUUUGUACUUCAGUGAAUUGGUCAAACUAUUACAAAUAAUGUGAAAUUUUGCUUUAGUUUUCUGCACGAGACUAAUAUAUGGCAAAUAGUAGCUCCCUAUAACUGUCAUUUAUGCGAAGACCAAUUUGUAGAUGCAGGGACACUACUACUUUGCAUUGGCGGCAAUAGGGAUAAUACAUUGCAGUGAAUCUGAGUAUGAUAUAUUUCUCCAGGUUGUUCCUAACUAUUGUUUAGUACUUCCCAAGUAAUUCUCGUACUAAUGCAUUCCCACGAAUAUAUAAGAAAUUUGCAACAAAUUCAAGAAAAAAUCCAGGCACUUCGCAGCAUACUCAGACAGAAAUCUGGGCAUCCUCUUUUUUUGUAAAACUAGUCUAUAUAUAUAUAUAUGACGACCCUUGGUCUGUGAGAGUGUUAGCAAAACUUGAUUUCAGUUUUUGUGACACCAAAAUUGCCCUUAACACCAAUAAAUAGACAAUUUACGUUGCAUUUCCUUAAUAAUUAAUAAGAAUUAUGUAACAGUUACAAAGAAACAUUCCCCUGAGUUGUGGUGAAUUAAAUCAAGAAAAAAAAACCAAUUCAUUGUAUUUCAUCAAUAAUUAAUAUCAAUUAUGCCAACAGUUACAAGAAUGAAAAACAUUCCCUCAAGUUUUGGUGAAUUACAUUUUAAAAAAAGAGAACAAAUUUUAUUUAUAAAUUAUUAAAAAGAUGGUGAAAGUUUUUGUGAUGCCAAAAUUACACUCUUCUCUAGUACAUGGACAAAUUGCAUUGCAUCUCAUUGCUAAAUAAUAUCGAACAUGCUAGUCAUUACAAAAAUGAAAGAUUCCGUAAUGUUAUUUUAUUUUAAAAAAAAAAAGAAGAAGAAAUGUUAUUUACAAAAUAUUCAAGUUUAAAGGGUACUUUAGUCUUUAAAUAUGAAAUAAAACAUAAUAAAUUGGUAUUGUGAAUCUCUUAAAAAAUAUCACGAGUUUUAAGGGCAUCUUUUUACUAUGCAUAUAUUAGUAUUGAGUACAAGGGUAGGCAAAGAAUAAUAGUACAAAAAAUUAAAUAAUAGGAGAUAGAAAACAAGGGUAGGCAAAGAAUUUUAUGUUGGAAUUUUUUUAUUUAAAAUAAAAUAAAUUUUAAUUUAAUGAACUUUAUUAGUGGUAUUCUUAUAACAAUUGACAACAUUAAUCUACAAUUAUUGAAUAUUAUAUACAUAAAUGACAGUUAUAAUAAUAGUUACGAAAGUGAAACAUCCCUUUGAGUUUUGGUGAAUUAAACCAUAUAUAUAUAAAAAAUAAAACAUCCUAUUUCAAAGGGUACUUCAAAGGUGAAUAAAAAUAUAUCAAAGUUUAGUUUGACUAUUAUAUAAUAAAUAAUCUUAGCGGCUUACAAUUUUUAAUCAUAUAAACUCUAUAAUGAUAAAACAUGUCAUUGAUGACAAAUACAAAUAAGUUUCACUAAGUCAAAACAUUUCUCAUCCAAGUUAAGCUAUUUAAAUUAGAACAUCAUUAUAUUUAAAUACUAUUAUAAUUACAAUAGCACUAUAGAUCAUUUUAUGAUUCACCAUUAGCAAAAAGAAAAAAAAAAGAAAGAAGAGUUCACUAAAACCAAUAAAAAAGUUCAUAGAAUGACUUAAAGAGAAACAACAAAUUAUUCAAAAAGUUAAAAAUUUUAACUCAAAUGACAUAAAAGAUAGGCAUUCAAAUCAUCCAAAUUUAAUACAAAGACAAAAACAUUGAUACUGUUACAAAAUAAAAGUACUCUUGGGAUAAAGGAUGCUUUAUUGCUUGUGCAUUUGUGGUAGUUAGCACAAAUCAAGUUCAGAAAAAAAAAAAUAUAAAUAUUAAACAUUACUUUUUUUGGUCUCAAUUACAAUUAUUCCUUCAAAGUAUGAUCUUCGCGUGCAAAGUAUGUGCUCCAUUAUUAGUAUCCUAAAGAGUUAGUAGGGCCUUAAAUAUUCUAUAACAAAUGAGAAAGUUGACUUUGAGAAAGAAAUAGGCAUUCUAAGUGUCAUGAUAACAUCAAAACGAAAACAUUGGACUUUUUAGCAAGAGGCAAGGAGGAGCAUCGAGGAUUGCCAAUGCUGCCGGUUCAGUUAAGCCAAUAACUCGCUAUACAUAUAGUUAGUCAAGAAGACAGAAAAAAGGUGCACGAGCCAUUAUGAUCAUCUAGCUGGGUAACAAACUCAUAUGGGUGUUGUUCUCUUUUACUGCCAUACUGUUGCUUGAUGGACUAGCAGCUGUUUCCAGUUUGGAAAAUGAGAAAUUAGCUCUUGCUUCGGCAAUUUCACCCUAAAAAGCCUCCGGCUGGCGCUGCAGUUAUUCUUUUCUGUUCCAGUUGCAGGCUCAUGAGAAUUGCAAGUCAGCUUGCACUAAAGUUACAUAAAGCAGGAUUGUUCAAGCCUUUGACAUGUCUGGGUUAAUAUAGGGUCAGAAAGACAACAGUUUUGGUUCACUAACUUGACAAUGUCCAGGGAUGCUUUAGCAAAUAGGAGAAACGGCAAAGAUUUAACAUGAGCGGUCUGAAGAAUUAGCUAAAUGCUUGGAGCUUGGUUUCGGUGCAUACAUCCAUUGGGUGUUAUAAUGACUUUUUUAACUUUUGGAACAUUGGAAAUCCCUGUUAAAUCAAAUGAUAUCGCUUUUUAUGUGCUUAAUAGGAGUUAAACAAUUGUACAAGUUCUAAUAGUUGAUAUAAAAAGAUGCUUCUGCAGUUUCUCAACUUCUAAAUAGGAGUUAAAAAAUGAUAUCACUUUUUUGUACUUUUUGUUUUAAGUUAGGCCAGGAGUGGACUUGUAAGGUUGUUGAUGACACAUGUUGUAGUGAACAACAGAAUGGACUGCGAUCUUUCUUGCCCUCUGUAAAUUCCUGACUUUCAUGGAUACAUAGCAAAAGCUAUAAAAAUGUUUUAUUAUUUACCAAACUUCUAAAUCAGGAGCAGGAACUUCUUGAUCUUUGGUUGCUUGAAAUUUCUCAUGUUGACACUUUAGCUGUCAUUUCUGCCUUGUGUUUUGCGUAAUAACAUCUGCUCCUCAUAUUCUCCACUGAAAUCAUGUCUCGGGACAAUUUGCUUCAUGGUUGUAAUGGUUCAACUAGCUGCGUUUAAGGUCCAAACGAAAGCAUGACCUUGAGAAAUUGAUUCCAAGUUUGGCUGCUGCAAACAGCUUACAACGGAAGCAAAGGAUAUUCUGCAGCACAGCCCCCGGGCGAAGGGGCACCCCGGGAGGGGUGGGGGGCGCAGUGUUAUUAACCCUAAAAUUUAGUCUGGAGUUUCUAGCAACCAUCACCCUGAUGGCAGAGGGUUACAGACAAAAACUUGUGAGUUUCUGUACCUGAGGCUAGUGGACAGAAGAAAAACUAAGAAGUGGCAUUCUGCAUUUGAACAAGUUUUGGCUGAGUGAUUUAAAUAAAUUUGGACUUUCAAAAGGUUCAAAAAAGCUUUUAUUCCUGUCAAUCCAAAGAUCCCAGCAGACAUAACCAAAGAAAGUGCUCGAAGACAAUUUAGAAGAAUUUGCAACUGAAAAUUUUUUACCUCCAAACUUAAACCGGUCGAUAAAAAGCAUCUGAGCGACACGAGAAUCAGUAAUGGGAAAGGAUAAAGAAGACCAGAGGCUAAUAGCUUUAGCAUAGCACAGCUUCUAACAAUAUGUUCUACAUUCUUAACUGGAGCGCUACCAAAAACGCUAGAACCGUUUGAACAAUAGAUCUUUUGCCCAACGCCUCUAGAAGCUAGUCUCUAUUGUUGGCUACGCAACUAGAAGAAACGUUUGAUCUUGGUGGCAGCUUUAAUCUUCCAAACCGAAGCAAUGCUAGGAUCAUUAGGAGAGGAAAGAAAGUUGCAGUCAGUUGCCAGAUCGUAGGCCCCUUUAGAAUUAAACUUACCAUCACAAGAAGUGCCCGGAAUAAGAGAGUCAUGUCUUGGUUACUCAUCUGUCUAGGAAUAGCUUUGAUCAUAGACAUGAUAUCCUCUUCCCUACACCUAAUAGGGUCCCUGAACUCAACUUCAGAUAGGACCUACCCCCAACCAGUUUUCCAACGAAAAUCUGACAACUUCUCCAUUCUUGAUCAACCACUUAGAUCCAGCAUUAUACAACUGUAGACCUCUGUGUAAAGCAGCUUUACUCAUGGAGCUAGGACACCUCUUAAAAUUGUGUUAAUUUGGUAAUAGGAAUUGUUAUUAAACUUCGUUUUGUUAUUUUACUUAUUCAUGCCACCAAUUUCUCAUAUACUUAUUCUUUUAGCGUGGUUAGUCUCAACUUAUCAUCUAAUUGUAAUUUAUUUGACAAAGAGAUGCAAUUUAGGCUAAAAAAUGAUGUUUUGCCAAAAAGUGUUUUCAUAGAAUUUUAUAAGGAUUCAGGAGCUCAAUUGUCAUAUAUUCAAUUCAAUUCACAUUACAUUUUAUCUUAAAACCUGUAAUUAUAACUACUUGAAACUUUGAUCAAAACUUCAAAAAUUAGGAACUAAAAAUGCAUUAUCAAAACUUUUGACAAAUGCCAAUUUAAAUUGACCCUUAAUUAUUGUAAUUUUUCAUUAGUUAUCCUAAAUUUGCCUGACAUAAAAAAAUAUAGGAGGCUAGAUUUGUUUUUCAUGAAGCAUUAGGGAUCAAUUUGACACACAGGCCGAAAUUUGAGAGCCAGAACUGUACUUCUCCCUCUUUGUUGUCAUACGUAUAGCCGUUAACUACAGUACAUGGUCAUUAAACUAAAAGAAAGUAACGUAUAUAGACAGGCAAUGAUUUACAAAAGACUAUUACUGAAGGCCAAUCUGAAGUACUCAGAAGUGAAAAUGAAAGAAUCUUAUUCAAUCAUUUCGCUAGAUGGUCUCUUAAGCUCAAUGUGCUCCGAGCAAUAGGCAUGUAUCAUCAAUUACACAGAUAAGUUUCGGUUGGACCUUUCAAUUCUUUCACAUUUGAUUCUCAAAUAAAGGAAACCCAUACACAUCAUUACAGAAUAGCUGCUACGGUUGGUACAAAAUAGUUUUCUUGCAAAAGCAAUUUAAUAACUUAUAAAAUAAAUUGCCAGCACAAAUAUACUCAAUAAGGAAAUAGAAAAAAUCAUUACCAUAUCUUUAUGCAUUUCAUAUGCAGGCAAAAACAACAGAUAUAAUUAAAGCUCUUGAAGUUCAACUGCCGCACUGCAUACGGUUUGAACACACAAACUCUAUCAUCUGUUUGACUAUUCAUGAAGAUAAUCAUAUACAGAGAAGUCACUAUACAGCAGAGAGCCAUUUGCAUAGUGAAGCAUGUAAUAGCAAAGAUCACAGAAAUAGCAAGGGUUCUCCAGAGCCCAUUUGUCAUCGACUGUAACCUUGGUCGCCUUAUAAAUCUUGCAAAUCGAGCAUUUUCUAAAACGCAAUUUAGAUUGAAAGGUUAUCAGUGGAUACGAGGCUCUGCUCUGUACAUCCUCUGGGUGGAUCAACCUCAUGUCUCUAAUGACAAUUAGGUGUUUGCAAUCCCCCUUGAGCACAAUAAGAUGAGCAAAAUUAGUCCAUGACACAGCUAAACAAUUGAACACGUGGGACAGUUCAAAAAGAAAUCAUAAAAGUAGGUGAACUGGCAGAAAACAGAGGAAGGAAGAUAUGAUGUUCAUAAUAUGCCAUUUUGGGUCCAGGAAGGGCUGGGAUUGCUGGCUGGGGGAAAAUUUCCUAGGACUAAAGCCAACUAGGAGUUAUCAUGGAACUGGGAUUACCACAUCAGUGUCUUGGUUGAAUUUUGUUUAUAGUUUAAUAGUGUUUUUGUCGAUGUAAUUAGCCUGCUGACUCUUUGUAUAAGCUGAUUUUCUGAUCAAUGAAAAGUAAAUGUUUGCUCAAAAAAAAAACAAAGUUCAUGAUAUACUGACCAGUUUUCUGACCAGCAUGAAAUUAUGAAUACGAAAUAGUGCAACAUAAAAUCAGCAGAAAAUAAGGGUUCCAACAGUUUUCUAACUUUCCUUAACAUACAAUUCUGAUAAGGUAACAACUGGACAGAAAAGAAUAACUUCUAGAAUGAUUGUAAACAAGUAUACCUGGUGACAAUAGAGAUAUCCAGCGCCAAGUCGAAAUCCAAGGUCACAAAAGCGAGUUUUUUGCAUGUGAACAGCUUUGAAUCGUGGUAACUGUAGUUUUUCAUUGUUAUCUAGAAAUGCCUUUUGCUUCUGGUGCUGCUGUUGUUCACCAGCUACAAUGAACUCCCAUUUUUCAAGUGCAUCAUUCCUACAGUGUUCAAGCCACUUAAAAAUGGGCUUACUGUAAUCUAUUGCUGAAGGUUCCCUCGUAUCAUUGCAAAAUACAUCCUACUAAAAGUACACCUCUCUUAGGGUGAGAAAUUGAAGAACAGCCAUAGGUUUCAGCAAUGAAGAAAGCCAUUACACUCACUUACCUCUACCAGGAAGUAUCCAGAUGGAUCAUACUGGCCAGCCUUUUUCAUGAUCUCAUCAGUUAAACAAUAUAUCUUGUCCCUCACUUCAGUCAAAAACUGUCGCCCAAGAACCAAAAAUUCUUGUGUCUGCAGAAUUUAUUGCAAAAGUAUAAGUUAAAUUCAGCAGCAAGUAAAACUGGGGACAAAUAUCAAUCAAACAGAUUCUGGUAUCCACCCCCUCCUAAAAAGAAAAAAAAAAACAGAGAGAGAGACAGAGAAAAGGCCAAAAAAGAUCAAACCCAAAUCCAGGUGAAGUUCCCAAAAAACCACAUUCCACGAAAGUGAGAGUAAAGUGCAAUUCUAAACAAGUACAUUGAUUUAAUAACAAAGUGUGAUUAAGUAUAACAAAAUAUAUUUAAAUGUCUUUUGACAGACCAUUUUCACAUGCAACCAGAAACUACAUUUGGUGAUUUGAGACAAUUUCCCAGGUUAAUGUGUGUCAAUUACUCAAUGGAAAGCAAAAUAAUGCACUUCUUAGGCAUAACUAGCACAACUUUUAGUUUACAAUGGAAACUAAAGAUAGAAAGAAAAACAAACAAAAAAUAAAAUAAACGGCAGAGCUCCCAUGAGGGGGCUGCUAGUUUUCAAGGAUAUAAAGUUAAGACUAAAUAACAUAAUUCAUAAAAAUUCAGAGCCUCAAGAAGAGAUGUUCAAAACAUUCAGCUCGAGGACAAGGCAUUAUUUCCCUCCAGAGCAAUCAAGUGUCAAAUUACAAGAUGAUCAACUCUAGGAGAAAAUUAAAAUAAAUACAAACUCAAAAAAUCUCAUAAACUAGAAAAGGAUCCAAGAUAUUACAACCACUAUAGUCCUUGUAAGCUGUGUGCGCAUAUUGUCUAGUCCAGCUAUCCUCAAUUUGUUUUUAUUGUAAGAGUAGUCUCACCAAGACAUGAAUAAGAAGCAAUUGGUGAGAAACCCAGCAUUUCUAAGGACCAAACUUUACAUACUAAGAAGAUAAUUGUACAUGUGAGGCACUAGAGUUAGAAGCUCUCCCUUAAAGAUAGCACAAGGCAUUAUGAAAAUCCUGAAACCACUUAACUAAAUAACAAAUUGCACCAAUACAUUAGGAUUUCCAUGCAAUCAUUUAAUGAGUCUUUCCAGCAGCAGAAUGCUGGUUACACACACCUAAAGGAAGACCCUAAAAUUUGUACUACAGAAUGCACAUACAUAGGAGUUACAAGUCCUCACCAAGUAUCAGAAUGGACAUGUUACUUCAGGUUUCAUCUGUUGAACAGCACAAGUACUAGCGGAAUAGCACCACCUUAAUAAAGUUGAAACCACAUGUGAAAAUUCUAUUCAUGACAAAAAUCAACUCUAGGCUACAGUUUAUAUCACAAACAGCCAAAAUUUUCAAGAUAUUGGAGGCUACUGGCCAUUAAACAGCAUAAACUCAAGGAAAGCUACAAAUCACAAUACAAACAUAAUGGUACAACUUUUUCCUUAGGACAAAUCAAUGAUCAACAUAAUGUUAUAACUUUUUCCUUAGGACAGAAAUCAAUGAUCAACAUAAUGGUAAUAUGGCACAAGUUGCUUUCUCUGCAUGAAAGGCUACCAAUUAAUUAACUCUAACUGCUGAAUAUCUGAGGUAUGAGCAAAAGAAUUUGCCUAACUUGGUGUUUAAUGCGCAACAAGACAGUAGAAGAUAACAACCAUCCAGUGCUCAGUUACAAUGGGUUAUAAGGGUUUUAAGCUGCAUUUAAUCUUUUCAAAUGCACAAGGUUAUGCCAGAACAGAUGUAUGUCAAUUGGUGGUUGAAACUACUAUGGAGAGAGAGGAAAAAACAGAGCUUUGAGGGAACUGAAAGCCCUUCGUGGAGAAUGCAAUACAGCAAUGUUCAUUUUCACUUUCUUUUUUGGGCUUGUAGAAUCCAUCUCCACCUCUAUAGAUAGCUGUUGGACAAGUUUUUUAAAUAAACCGAUUGCUAUCUCAUAUACCAAUUGUAUACUUAUUUGUUAGUGAAAGGGAAUAAAAACCGAACAAACAGAGAUGAAUGAUUUGAUCCAGCUAAAGACAUUAUGAUUAAAUGAGUCAAUAUAAAAGCAUCAUCAUUUUGGAUAUACUAUGCGGCAGUACUUCACCUUAGACCAUGCUCUGCUGCGAUGGUAAACCUCAAGGCAGAGAAUAACUUCAGGAAAAUGAACUGGAACUUGCUCAGGAGCAUUGGAUAAUCUCACCUGCAAUUAAUUUAUAGGAAUUUAAACUAUCAGAACCGUGUAACAUUUUAAAAAGCAAUAAACAAUAGGAUUAAUAUGCACAGUGUCUGCAUGUUAAACCUACAAUACCUAUUACAACUUCCCAACUAUGAAAUUUACAAAAUUCACCAUCCAUUUACAUUUGUAUAUGCACAAUCUUCAUUGACUGCAAAAUUAAAUAGAUCAGAUCACUUUAUGCAUGUAAUCCAAUAAUGUUCCAAAAUAAUCUUUUAAAUUAACAACUUGCGAUAUUACUGUUUUACUUGUAUAGACCUUUAUUUAAAACUCAAACCUAAUAUUUGGUAUUAUUACCUUAGAAAUAUAUUUUCUUAUUGCAAGCUAUUAAGUGGUUAAAGAACAUUAUUUUGUACACCAAAUCCCAAUUAUAAAAGAAAUCAUCUGUUAAUGAUGAUAAAUAAUGAUGAUAAAACAGUAUAAAUGCUAUCUUCUUCAUCAUGUAUAUAUGGGAGUGCAAACCACAUAUAGCACAGACAACGACUUCAUACUGUUCUAGCAAAAAAUCACUUUAACCUUCUCAUGAGACUUGUGUAAUGGAGUCAUGUUGCACUAGCUUAGAUGCUCCUAAACAUUAAAAUGGUUUUCAGCCUUUCACCUACAGAGUAAGUCAAACUAUCAUCCACUUUGAGCAAGUUAAAGCAUUAACAAGAAACAAAAUGACGUAAAAUCCACAAAUCUAAGCAUAUGCAUACUUAAUAUCAUUUUCACAUAUAAACAAAUCCACUGUACCACAACUAGACAUCUGAUUAUAACCUUAAGCAUGUUUUCCUUUGAUUGCUUAUAUUGUCAUUUCCAUUUUUUUCAUGAAAACUAUUUAGUACCAUAUAGAAAUUAUUUGGGUAGCACAAUUAGGCCAAAACUGAAUAUAAGCAUGAAGCAACAAUCCUUCAAAGCUAGGUGCUUCCUCUCUCACCAAUUCUUCUUCAUACUAUUCCUGUUAUAGUCUUAGACAAAACAAUUUAUCAGAUCUAAAUAAUUUGUCUUCUUCUUCCAGCACCUUCUUACAGGGAAAAACCUUACUGUGUUGAAGCUUUUUUUUUUUUAACAAGGCAUACUUCAUUUAAUUUUCUAUAAUUGCUUUUUACAUUCAACAUUAAAAAGUGCUCUUCAUCACUCCCCGUUAUUUCAAUGGCUUCUGUCCAACUCAAACACCACCAUCCUUGCUAAAUAAAAAGACGGAAGGUUCUUCUGAAUGAGUACUACAUGGUCAUACUUUUAAACUAUUAAACUCCUUUUGCAACCAAAUUAAGCAACACUCCAAAAAUUUACUUGCAAAACAUAUCUAAAAAAGUUUGCCUCAGUAGAGUAAUAGAAACAGGACAUAUUUCUCGCAUAUCUAACAAUGCUAAUGUUCACUUGCUCCAAUCUGCAGGAUAAGUAAGCUAAAAACCUGAAGUGGAAAAUUAUUUUUAUUCAAAAGAAUAGUCAACUUCAUAGAAAAAUAAGAAAGAGAAAAAACCAAAUGCAUAAAGUUUCAAUCGUGGAUAGACAGCACUCAGUUUCAGAUACAUGUCAAUCAGUAAAACAAGGCAUUUAAUCAAGCAAACCUUAGGUGAAAAACUUGUUGACUUGAGUGAUGUCAUCUUGUCAUUAUUCAUCUGGGAACUAGUAGGAGAUUGAUUCCUGCAACUACCACUGCAUUGAAGCAUAAACACAAAAGCUAAGAUGCAAAUCCUAAAUACUUGAAUUUCCUAACAAGAAUGACCAGAUCUAAGAACGAAUGCACAUUUCCAAAUAUCAAAGUUAGAAAAUGCCUACUUGAAUGAAUGCAAUCUCGCUGCUGUUUUAUCUUCAUCUUGUUUUUGUUUGAUUUUUGCAAGUUCUUGCACCUUUGCAACAUAUCCUUCCUGAUAAUACAGGAGAAAAUCUCCUUAAAUCAAGUUGAGGUAAAGUUUUCCACAAAAAUCAAGGGACAAAAUUGGUAAAAUAGCAUCCCUGCUACUGCAAAUAUUUUUUCAGUUUAGCAUUUUCUUUCAUAAAUUAUAUUUCCCAAACGAGGCAAAAUCACAACAUUUUGGUUUGCUAAUUACAUGGUCCAUAUUCAGAUCCCCAAAAAUUAAUAAACAAUCUAAAAUGUUGAAUAUAUCCUAAGUAUAUCUACAAAUGUAGCCCAUAAGGAACAGACAAAGGAGAGGCGUGUAUUUUUUAAGCAGCCAAAUUCUAUCAAAUGUUGAACAACAUAAUUCUCAUUUGGAAGCAGAAAAAGAAUGCCUAUAAGGAAAAAGUACAAUAAGAAACUAGAAGCAUACUUCAAGAUCAACAGUUUCCCGAUUCACAUGCCUCUUCCUCUUCCUCUUUUGUGAAACAUUAUCAUUUGAUACUGUCUUUUCAAAGUUUCUAGGACCACCAGUUGAGGAGUCACAAGAAACUAAAGUGUCGUUUCCUCCCAACCUAGUAAUACAAGAAGUUAGAGUAGCAGAUGAAGUGCCAUUAUCUGGUUCCCUACAGAUUUGACAUCAAAACCAAAUGAAUCUAAACUCCUGAUCAAGUAGAGAAGAAAGGCCCACACAAGUCUAAGGAGACUAAAUACAUAAAGAGAUGCUAUCUGGAAAAAAAAAAUGCUAGAGGUCAUAAUCAACACAAGUAGUAGCCUUACUUCGAAACAAAGAAAAACAAAGCUGAGAUGAGAAAGUUGAAAACCUCUCAACGCUUGGUAUUGAAGUAAGUCGCUCUCAUAGAGUAAGAAAUAAAGAAAUCAGAAAAGAUUCACAAAAACAAAGAUGCCAACCAUGAAAAAGAAUCACGUGAUACUACUGCAGUCUAUUGCUUUUUCAUAAACGUAUUGCUCUUUGUGCUGGAACUUCAAUUUUAUAAUUAAAAAUUAAGUAAAAGACACCUUCCAUUUUCCUUUUCCCUUUUGUAAUAAUCAUAAGGUAUCAUUAAGAUAAGCAUGAGAUGUGUGAUGUGCAAGUGUUUUAUAGAAGUUUAUUGUCCAUUUGCUAUAAUUACAACACUCAUAAGAUAAAGAAUUUAACUUCCACUAUUUCUUGUAGUAGUCUGAGAAGAGUUUCGAGAGUUAAAAUGUUUGCACAAUCCAGAUAUGUAAACAAAGUUGAACAGAAGGCAGUGAAUGACUUUAUAUAUAAUUCUAUUUGCUUCUUAACCUUUUCAUAAGUCUCUGUGGUUCAGCUGAAAGAAAAUUCUCAUUCAACUAGCAGCAAAAACAUAUGAUUUUAGGGACAGCUUUGGAACAGUGAACAGUGACUAUGAAGAUUCCUGCAGUUAAGAAUGCCAAGCUAAACUAAAAGUAAUGAGAUUCAUUUUACAUAACCAAAACUUUCAUGAGGAUCCACUAUGCAUUAUAGUAUCUCUAAUAGGCAAGAACUGAAGCCAAAUGUUUCCAGGAAUAUUGCUGAUUUUGUUCUUUUUUAAACCAUUUAUGUACAGCACACCAUUAUCAUGUUUUAUGAAGCCAAAAUUCCAAGCUCAUCUGGCUGCCUUUUUACAUAUCCAAAGUCACAUAUCACAGCCUAUUAUGUCCUUUAUAUUAUGAUAAACCUAAAACUAACCCAACUUUUUUCCCCCACCACAAACCCAAAGACCUGUAACAUCUCUGAAAUUUCCAUUAAUCAGUAAUUUCGAUUUCACUUCACUUCAACACUCAACAAAAAAGUGAAGAAGAAAAUCUCAGGUAUUUCACCAUUCGAGAUAUAAAACAUCAAAUAAGGUUAGAAAAGAAACAAAUACAGCAAGAAGCAAUGAAUUGUCUGCUAACCUUUGACAUGAUUGCUCCUGGGAUUUUUGUGAAACAUUUUCUAUCAGCUGCCCAUCCUGUCAUUAUCCACUAAAAGUUAAGAAAAGAAUACAAAAUAAGAAACUUGGUAAUUCUGAGAAAUUACAAUUCAAAACAGCUUACCUUAAAUGCCUCUUCAAAAGCCCUAUUUACCAAGACCUCCUCGUUAAUUAUUUUAAGAUCAUUAACACUGCCAAGCCAUUAAAAGAAGAGAAAGAAAAAUUCAUAUAACAUCCAAACCAGAUAUCAUCAUUAAAGAAUGCAAAGAAACCACGACUAAUUCUGAAUACAUUGUGAAAAAUAAAAAAGAAAAGGCAAAACAAAACUGACCAAAAUUCGUCAUCAGAUAUCUCGAGCGAGUCCCAACCAAUCUCUGCCUUGAGAUUCUGCAUCAAAAACAAAUUCUUAUAAGUUUGACUAUGCAAAUAUUCCAAGGAAUUUAUAUUCCUAAAAUAAAAAAAAAAGGAUCACUAAAAAGAGCAUUAUUAAAAAAUAAUUAAAAAAAUUAAAAUUACUCUUGAAAUUCACAAUUAAAUAUAUACAUACAGUAAAAAUUCCAUAAAAUCAAUUAUCACAGUGAAAAAAUUCCUCAAAAUCAACCUUAAAAAAGCCUUUCUUCCGUAGAUGGUUAAAAUCAAUUAUCAUAGUGAAAGACUUAAUCAAAAACAACCUUAAAAAAAAAAAAAAACUUUCUUCUGUAGAUGGUUAAAAUUGUUCCCCAAUUCUUACUAGCAAAUAAUAUUUCCAUAUUAGAAAAAGCUCAAUAAAACCUUCAACAAGCCACAAUUUUCUUAGAUACUUCAAAAAUUAAAAUACCCGUAGAAAUUAGUAAAAAAGUAAAAAAACAAAUAAAUAAAUUUUUGUUUCCUUGGAUACCUGAAGUUGUUCGAAUACAGAGCUCUCAAACUCAGAAACCCUAGUGAGGCGCCCAAGCAUAUGGGGGCUAUAGAUAGGACCCCCGCAGGGAAUUGAAAUAUAUUGUUCGUCCCCGAUGCUCAGGGAUUCCGCCGCCGACAUGGGAAUAAUUAGGGGUUUCCAACUGUAUGUAGAUGCUGAGAAAUCAGGAAGUUAUAUAUGGCUAUACACAAUGGGCUGCCGGAGCAGGCCGAUAAAGAGCGUAUGGUGGCGGUGGCGGUGGCCGGUGGGGGGUCUACGCGGGAAAGAAACAGAAAAGAAAAAAAAAAAAAAAGAUGGUUUAUCUUCUCAGACUAAUUCAAACAUAGGAGAAAUUUUUUUUUUUUUUUUAGUAUUUUAAACUUUACUUCUAUAAAGAGAAAAUAGGGAGAAGGAAGGGCAAAUAAUUUCUUCGCGGUUGAUUUGGAAUGUAAAAAGUCCGGACCGUUUUCUUAACAAUUUGGAAAAAGAAAUUUUCAAUUUUGUGCAUCAUAAAGACAUCAUACUAGUUUCUAAGCCGGCACCCGCAGAGUUUAUUGCCAAAAUAACUCUUCUUUUGAAACAUAUACCUAGAGGUAGCAAAAUGGGCGGGAGGAGUGGGAUUUGCUUGGGUUUGAAACGGAACCGAGUCAUAUGGGUUUGGGCCAACCUUACCCAUAUGUGUUUUGGGACUAACUUGGGCGGAAUCAUUUUGGAAUGGGUUUAGAUUGAUCCCGCCCAAUACCCAAAUCUAUUUUCUACAUAUUUUUUUUUCCUUUAAUUCAUUUUUUAUAUAACUUUAAUAUUUUUGAAUAAUUAAAUUUCUUUUAGUUUUAUUAAAUAAACAUGAAAGUGCUUUGUACUCAGGAUUCCCACCAAAAUUUGGAUUAACAAAUAAAGAAAAAGAUAGAUAUACAGCCAUAUUCCAACAAAUAUCAAGAUGGCCAAGGCACUUAGGGUGUUGAAUAUUUAUCCUCAUAAUUGUCCAAGGAUGACAGGUCUAAACUGAAUGAAAUGCUGGAAAUUCUUGUGGAUAAUGACUAAGAAGACUGCUAGAUUAUAUUCGCUGGUAUGACUAUAAAAAUUGUUAAAGAUAAUUUUUUAAUCUAAUUUGAGCCCAAUGGGUACCCAAAUAUUUUCCAAAAUUUCUCAUCAAUUAAUGGGUAUAAUUGGGAUUUGUCUCAUUUUAAACCCAAUAUCAAAUUCCAGUACCCAACCCGCCCAAAGUCCCCAUGGGCAUGGGUAAUCCAUUGGGACUUGAAACAAAUUGCCACCUCUACAUAUACCCAAUGUAACCUAAUUUUAAAAUUUAUUACCUUUAUAAUUCUUUUUUUUCCAUAUAGGUUGCAUAUGUGGUAGGAUAGAGAUAGAGACACAUUCUAUCUCUCUUUCCCAACUAAUAUCUUCCCUGAUUCUCUCUUUGAACAUUCCCACUUUUUUUUCCUUUAUUAUUUUGUGUCCUUUCGUUAUUUUUCCUUGUCAAAUGUAAUUGUUAAAAGCCAAUAUUUAUAUUAACAACAUCUAAAACUUCAUUAUCAUUUCUGAUAUUGUAUCUGUAGAUGAAAAUAUUCUCCUUGAAUUGAUAAUUUUAAGGUAAAUGAAGAUUAUUCUCUUGUCUUUUCUAUUGUGCAAUUUUAGAACAUUCCUAUGGCCUUCAAAAAAUUUUGAAUACUAAUUGCUUUAACAAAUGAUUUCUCACACCGUGUGUUUGAUAAAAUGUCUAAGAGGAAAACUACGUAACAACAUAAAUUCAUGCUCAAUAUAAGCAUGUCCAUUUGUAGUGCCUCUGUGAGGACUCGCAAAAUUUACUUAUUUAAAUUUCCUAUUUCUAACUUAUUUAAUUAUUUAUUUGGCCAUUUACUCAGAAUAUUUUAUUUUGACCUUUUAUUACUCAAUUACAUAGAAUAAUAGCUCACAUGUAUUUUUAAAGUGACUUGUUUCAAAAUUUAAUUUUUGGAAUCUCGUUAAGUGAGAAUAGCGAAUACGCGUUUGGAGACAAUAACCGAUUUGAGAGAACUAUGAGCUUGAAAAUUGGAGACUUAUACACUAGUCUUAAAAUAGGUAUUUUUAUGUUUAAGUACUCAACUAUUAGUUAGUGAUACCAUCGUUAUAAGAAUUUCGUGAAAAUUCCACUCUACCGGGCACAAAUUAGAAGUACGCGUUUUUACACGCGCGAUUUAAUUGAGGGACUUUAGACCCUUAUUUUUAGAUCAUUAAGAGUGAAUAAUAAUAGUAGGAAUACAAGUGCAUUAGAGGUUUAGUGCACAAGUGAAACAAUCUCGAGAGGAAUCGAGCACGAAAUGCGCGCGUACGCGUGGAAGAGAGAGUUGACUUUUGAACCAAUUUAGAGCCAUACAUUUUAGCUUCUCUUGGAAGCUUGAUUUGCAGCCAAAACCUCUCUCUCUCUUGCUCUAAGACAGCCGGCCAUCCAAGGAGAAAAACAACCAAAGUUCUUCAUUUUCCUUCAUCAAUCCUUGCUUCAAAUCUUCACCAAAUCACCUCAAAAUUCACAUACACUUUGAUAACACUUGGAGAUCACCUCAAGCUAGGAAAAGGGGCUUGCUCUCACAGUUUUUCUUGAGCUAAAAGGACCGAAAUUUCUGCCUUGAUCAUCUAAGAAAGUAAGUAAUGAUCAACCUCACAAAUCUUGACUUAUGCAAGUUAUAUUGCACUUAUAAACUCAUAUAUUCAUGUGGGUAGCUUUAUUUAUGUUGAAAAUUUGGUGUGUGGGAUCUAUGAAAGCCUACAAUGGCUUGGUGGAUUGAUUUGAUGAUAUAUGAUGCUAUUUAUGUUGGAUUAAUGCUUAAUCUAGUGGAAAUACGUUAGGUUGUGAAGAAAAACUCAAAAGAAGAGAGUUGAGCAAAAGUGACAAAUCUGCCCUUGUUAUUGCCGUGAGCCUUAGUGCAUUUUUUUGUGGUUCAAUUGACUUAUUUAUGAUGUAUACAUGUUGUGUGGGUUGUGUGGAAGGUUUCCACAAAAAAUUACGUGAUUUGGAUGAUUAAAUGUUGAGUUUUCGAAAAUUUGUCAAAGUUGGAAAUGAGUCCCGUGUUACUCUGGCAGUAUUUUUGUUUCGGUCAUAACUUUUUACUCCGAUGUCGAAAUCAAGUGCCGUUAGUAGCAUUAGAAACUAGACACUUCCAGUUUUCCAAUGGUAUAAAAUGCAUGCCCAGAUUCCACCUGAGUGAAUCAUACCAAUCAUUUGAACAUGACUGUCCUGUUUCGCUGAUCCACUGGAGUGCAGGUCAUGAGCUGCAACUUGAUGCUCGAAUAUGGGCUAGUUGUGGAUAGAUUUUUAAAACGAUUCCUUCUAUAAACAUUUAACCUUAUGAAUGUAGUUUCUAACACCACCAACCAUGCUCAAUUCCAAGUUGAUUGAGUGAGUUGUGGCCGAAGUUCGAAACUGAUUCAGUGGUUGAAAACCCUCUUUUUGACUAGUAAAUGCUUAAAUCUUGAUUGGGACUUGUUGUUUUGAAAUUCUUGAUGUUGAUCACCUACCAAAUGUAUCUUGGAUGUUGCUUAGACAUUGUCUACACAAAUGGACCGUGUUUGAGACAUUUUGUUGGCCAAACGUUUUGAAAACGGAAAACGGAACCACAAGGCAGUUUUGUCUUGGAAGUUCUUGGAGAUUUAAUGAUUUUGUUAACUGACUUCCCAUACAUAUUUUUCCAUGAAAUUUGACAGAGGAAUAGCCCUUAUAUGGUAGUAUAAUCAUACCAAAUUUGGUGCCAUUCCGAGUCCAUUUAGAAGCUCAAACAAAGUCCCGAAGUACGUGAUUUAAACCUGAAAUUUGCUUAACAGUUUCACUUUUGCAGCAACUUUGAGCUACCAUAUCUUGGUGCCCAAAACUCCAAUUCUUGUUCCACUUAUUGUGUUGAAAAUUUUGAUUGUAACUCUAAUUGACUUCCAAAUUUUAGAGGCUAGUUCGCAUUGUGUGAAUUUUGCUGAAUUUCCAAACUUUGCCGAAAAUCAACUCAAAUCUGUCUUGGCAUUCCAAAACAGCCACUUUGAGCUAAAUUUUGAAUAUCUUUCAUUUGGAAUCAUGGAAAAGUAUCUUCUAAGAACUUUUAGUACGUUGGAAGAAGUUUCCAACGGUACCAAUUUUUCCAAUUUUGGACUUGUAGAGAGUGAGAUACGAUUUUUCAAAGAUUGUUCGACAAAUCUGAAAUUUCCAAACUUAAAGGAAAUUGAGGGUUUUGAACUCUCUAUCUCCUUUGGUAUUGUUAGACCGUUGUAUACUUGAUUUCAAAGAUGAAAAAAAAUCAUAUUUUACUUUUGUGUUUUAAAACCCCUUUUUUUGAGCCUCGAUUUAUGAGUAAUUAAGGCUCAUUUUCGUGAAAUUUUCUUAAAUUGUACAAGUGUACAAUCUUCCUUGAUAAUUGGGGUUUAUAAGUGAUAGUUCAUUAUUAAUUGCUCAGGCACUCAAGAGGACCCCCAAGAGGAUAUCACGGGAGACGCCUAAUCAAUCGAUUGUACUUGCUACUUGAAUCACUCGGUGAGUGUCAAGUGUAUGAGUACUUGAUACAUGCUUAACUGUUAUAAAUGAUUGGAGAUUUUGAAAAUAAAGUCGAGUGUGUACUUUACCGCACUUGUUCUCAUUUGAAAUGAAUGGAAUGAAAUGUAUUUAAUGAAAUGAAUGAUUGAAUGAUAUUAAAUGAUUGAAUGAAAUGAAAUGGUAUGCUAUGGCUGCAUACGUCGCUGGAGUGAAUCUCCUCGACUCACAAAUGAACAUGGAGGACGCCCAAAUCUCACUGGCUAACCUUGGACUCGAGCCGGCAUGUGUUUGGUCAGGCUCCUUGGUGAACCAUGAGAAAAUAUAAGUUUGACCUAUUGAGAGGUCUUACUUGGCAUACUCGAGCAGUAUCGCCUCAAACAAACAACAGGCGGACCCGAUACAGGGGUAUGUAAGGUGAAAGGGGACAUGAUAAGUGAAGUUCUACGGACUGAACCUACCCGGUUGACGGAGUGUCAACUAAUGGAGGUUCGUGAUCGUACAAGUGAAAAAUAACUCCUGAGAGCUCCUAUAUCCUUGAAUUGUUUCUGUUUACUUUUCUCGCUCGAAUUGUUAAUUAUUGCAAUAUUAUUACUCUACUUGUAAAUAGGGAUUGUUAUUUGAACAACGUGUCUGCAUGUGUGUUCUUGGCCUCACGAGCGUUUUGCUCACCCUGUAGAUUUGUUUUCCUUCACAGAAAAGGAUUUGGAAUGGACCUCGGAGAAACCCCUUUUGAAUGUACUUUUGUAUUAGGGUUUUCAAUGUGCUUGGCUAGACUCUGGAUUAUUGUAUAUUUUGAGAAUUUGAUGUAAGGAUUGGAUACUUGACGUAUUUUGGAACUCAUGAUGUAAGUUUGAAUGUUAUUUAUGGGAGUGACCUCCCUUUCGUACCUAUAUCAUCGUGAUGGCUGGUAUUUCAUUAAACUUGAACGGAAAUUGUCUUGAGUCCUGAUGAGAGUUGGGCAGGCGUCCCGCGGAUAUCUUUUGGUUCGCCUUAGAGAGAAGUGGGGCGUCACAGUUGGUAUCAGAGCGCUAGAUUAGAGAUGUAUAUGGGUGACAUAUUAGAAACUCUACCUUUAAGAUUUGAGAUAGGAUGACUAAGUCAUACCUUAAGUGAUAUUUGGGCGAACUAGUAACUAAGUUAGGCAUACCCUAGGUGACAUCCGAGUGAGCUAGUGAUUAAGUUUCUAAUUUGAAAAGUGUGAUUGUUUUGCAGGGAUGAAAAAUGGAAACGGAGCCCCAGCAGCUAAUGGGAAUGGCCAUGCGAAUGGUCAUGUAGAGCCUCCUAGGCCUAUUUUCUACCGAGCUCUUGGUAGAGGGGCUCGCGUGCGUUACUCACCUGCCAAUUGGUAUCCCCAAUGUUCGUGUAGGUUGACCUUCGCCUACCCGAACCGCCUCGUGCUAGUUUUGGACGACGAGCGUCGUCAGUUGGUGAACACUAACUUAGAUUUACAGGCGGAGGUAGACGAGCUGAGGUAGAUGGUUAGUGCUCAGGGAGAGCGGAUUGCGGAGCUUGAGAAGGUUCUGGAGGGCGAGGUGGCUACUGCUGCGGUUACUCGUGAGGAGCUCUAGAGGACUAGGGCUUGACUCACUAGAUUAGGAGAAGAGAUCCGUGAUCGGGCUUCCGGGAUCCUGGCUGAUGCCACUGAGAUGAUAGAGGGGGUGUCGGAUAUUAUCCAGAGCCCGGUUCAGGGGGAGGACUUAGAGGAGGAUCCUGAGGAGGAUAUUCCUCCUAGUAGUCCUACUGUGGACUAGGUUUAGAGCAAUUGACCUUUUGACUCUUUUGACUGGUGUAGUUAGGAUUAGCAGGGGUGAUGCGAGUGUUGAGACCAUUGUAUUUUCAUGACUGUGUGGCCUACUUUUGAAGCACUUGAUUUUGCUUUAGUCUUUUAUGACUGAAAGUACUCUUGUGGCACUUACGUGCUAUAUUUUUGUGAUCUCCCCCAUGACUUGCUAAUUGUAUGGAUCUUGACAUGUUAAUGAAUGUAAAUUAUUGUAAUUUUCAAUGCUUUCGUGAGUGGUUCUUGUUUUAAGUAUUUUCUCGCAUAAUUGAUUCAUUUCUUGCACUAGGCACGCCUAGAAUAAUGGAAGGACUAAAAAAUGGUCGAGACCGUGGGCAAGGGACUAGACAGGCCCAAUCUCAUGGGGAUGACCAGGGAUCGGCAACUGGACCGACCUAGGGACAGGAAAAUGUAGAAGGAAAUCAAGCGGCUACUGCCAUUAAUAGGAUGACUAAUAUUCUAGAACGUUUAGUGGAAAGACAAGGUCCUGGACCACUUAACCAAACUGGGGGACAGGAUAGAGGAGAGGAUAGAGCUCUAGAGAGGUUCUUGAAGUUUAACCCGCCUAAAUUUAUUGGUGAACCCGAUCCUGAGGUAGCAGAGAAUUGGUUGGAGAGAAUGACCAACAUAUUCGCCGCUCUAGACUAUAUUUAGAAUAGGUGAAUGAAUUUUGCUGCUUUCCAAUUUGAGAGAGUGGCUCGUGCUUGGUGGGAUGUGGUAAGGGAAAAGUAGGAAAGAGCCCAAACCCUUAGACUUGGGAGAAUUUCACGAGAGAGUUUAAUGAGAAAUUCCUUCCGCCUUUGAUCCAAGAAAAGAUGGAGGAUGAGUUCAUCAAGUUGAAACAAGGGACCCUUAGUGUAGCGGAAUAUGAAGGGAAAUUCACUAAACAUUUCAAGUAUGCUCCUGAAUUGGUAACUAAUGAGCGAAAACGGAUAAGACGGUUUCUAUAGGGAUUUAAUGUGAAAAUCCAGGAGGACUUAACCGCAACCCAAAUCACUACUUUUACUGAGACUCUAGAGAAAACACAAAGGGUUGAGAGUGCCAGAAUGCAAGUUAAGGACUUUCACAAUAGGAAGAGAAACUUUUCCAGUCACACUCUGGACAAGCUAGUAAAAGUGCACAGCAUUCCAAAAUGGGAAGAGAAAUGGGAGGAACAAGAACUGCAGGAGCUUCUAAGGGAGCUUUAUCCAGAGGAGGUUGUGGUGGGCCGGUUCAAGUUAGGGGAGCGCCUUCUAGUGGAUCGGCAGUAAUCCCUCAAGUUACUUGUGGGUACUGUGGUAAACCCAACCACUCUGAGAAUGACUGCUGGAAGAAGUCAGGGAAAUGUCUGUUUUGUAGGAGUGUCGAACACCAACUCAUAGGUUGUCCAAAGGCAUCAAAAUUGGGAGGUAACCCUCAGAGGCCAGAAAAGUCAACCUCUAAGUAGACUGGUGUUGGAGGGAGCCGACCUAAGGUACAGGUUAGGGUUUAUACACUGGAUCACCAACAGAUACCUGAUGCGACUGAGGUGGUUGAAGGUAUAAUUCCUAUUUUUCACUGCUUAGCUAAGAUUUUAAUUGAUCCGGGUGCGACUCAUUCUUUUGUAAACCCUAAUUUCAUGAGUGGAAUAGACUUGAAACCAAUUAAAUUACCUUACGACUUGAAAGUUAAAACGCCUAUUGGGGAUCAAAGUCUAAUCGCUAACUUGGUGUAUAGAGAUUGUGAGAUCUGGGUUGGAGAACGAAAAUUAUUGGCCGAUCUGAUAGGUUUAGCAAUGAAGGGAUAUGAUGUGAUCCUAGGAAUGGACUGAUUAGCCCGUUACAUUGCUCAGUUGAAUUGUAAGACAAAGAUAGUAGAAUUGUGCAUUCCGAGAGAGGCAACCCUGAAAUUGAAUGUAAAAGGUAGAUUAGCCUCGUCUGCACUUAUUUCAGGGAUUCGAGUUAGGAAAAUAUUGAGUAAAGGAGUUCACGGAUAUUUGGUUUUUCUAAUCAACACCCCUAGUGAUAAAGUGAAUCUGGAAGACAUGCCUGUAGUGAAAGAUUACCCAAAUAUUUUUUCUGAAGAGUUAGAGUCUUUACCCCCGGAACGGGAUAUAGCUUUCAAGAUUGAUGUGACUCCGGAAGUAGUACCUAUAUUUAAGACGCCAUAUAGAAUGGCUCCGACUGAAUUGAAGGAAUUGAAACUGCAAUUGCAAGACUUGUUGGAACAGAAUUUUAUAAAGGAGAGUGAUUCACCGUGAGGAGCCCGGAUCUUGUUUGUUAAAAAGAAAAAUGGGAGUUUAACAUUAUGUAUAGAUUACCGAGGCUGGAAUGAUGUCACUAUCAAGAAUAAGUACCCAUUGCCCCACAUCGAUGAAUUGUUUGACCAAUUGCAAGGGGCGGUAGUAUUCUCGAAAUUGGAUUUGAGACAGGAUUAUUAUCAAUUGAGGAUUUUGGAGAAAGAUAUACCCAAGACUGCUUUUAACUCGAGGUAUGGACACUUUGAAUUUGCAGUAAUGCCAUUUGGAUUGACCAAUGCACCUGCUGCUUUCAUGAAUUUAAUGCAUAGGAUUUUUAAGCCUUAUCUAGACCAAUUUGUGGUGGUCUUUAUUGAUGAUAUUUUGGUGUACUCUAAGAAUGUGAAAGAUCACGAGAAACAUUAGAGAAUUGUUUUACAAACUUUGAGGGAACACCAAUUGUAUGCUAAGUUUAGCAAGUGUGAGUUUUGGUUAAAAAAAAGUGACUUUCUUGGGACACAUAAUUUCUAAGGAUGGGAUUAAAGUAGAUCCAAGUAAAGUUGAAACUGUUUCAAAGUGGAAACGACCGGAAAACCCUACAGAGGUUCGAAGUUUUAUUGGACUAGCAGGGUAUUACCGGAGAUUUAUCCAGGAUUUUUCUAGGAUUGCUAGACCCAUGACUGAGUUGACCAAGAAAAGUGGGAAGUUUGUUUGGAAUUACAAGUGUAAAGAGAGUUUCCAAGAGUUGAAAAGACGUUUGACAAGAGCGCCAGUGUUAGCUUUACCAAAUGAAAAGGAUAGUUUUGUGGUCUACACAGAUGCUUCUAAGGAAGGAUUAGGAUGUGUUUUAAUGCAAAAUGGUAGAGUGAUAACAUAUGCAUCUAGGAAGUUGAAACCACACGAAGGAAAUUACCCGACUCAUGAUUUGGAGUUAGCGACUGUGGUGUUUGCUUUGAAGAAAUGGAGACAUUAUCUGUAUGGAGUAACGUUUGAAGUUUUUACUGACCACAAAAGACUUAAGUAUUUAUUUUCUCAAAAAGGAGUUAAAUCUGAGGCAACGUAGAUGGAUGGAAUUUUUAGAAGACUAUGAUUGCACGAUAAAGUACCAUCCAGGAAAGGCCAAUGUAGUGACCGAUGCUCUAAGUCGUCAAGUGCAAGUGGCCGGAUUGAUGAUUAAGGAAUUACACUUGUUAGAGGAAAUUAGUUAUUGAAAUCCUAGACCUGAACCAAGAAAAGUAAUUUUGGAGAAUAUUGUAGUGAAUUCCACUCUGUUGGAGCAUAUCAAGGAAUCUUAGGAAAAGGACGCUGAAGUGCAAAAGUGGUUGAAAAAUGUCAAAAAGGUAGAAAAGUCAGAUUUUCACUUGGGAUCAAAUGGUAUAUUAAGGUUUCGGAAUCGGAUAGUAGUGCCAAAAGACGAAGGGCUUAAAAAGAAAAUUUUAGAAGAGGCACACCGAUCGAAGUUUACGGUACACCCUGGAGGGAAUAAAAUGUACCAAGACUUGAAGAUUCUGUAUUGGUGGGAGAGUAUGAAGAAGGAAAUUGCUCAAUUUAUCCAGACUUGUUUGACUUGUCAACAAGUAAAAGCCGAACAUCAGAAACCAUCGGGACUUUUGCAACCUUUGGAGAUACCCGAGUGAAAAUAGGAAAAUAUCACUAUAGAUUUUGUAUCAGGAUUACCAAGGACACAAAGAGACAAUGAUGCUAUUUGGGUGAUAGUGGAUAGAUUGACUAAAUCGGCUCAUUUUCUGCCUAUUAAUAUGAAAUACCCAUUGGAAAAGUUAGCUAAAUUGUACUUGGAUGAAAUUAUCAGGUUAUAUGGAAUACCUGUGAGUAUCGUGUCCGAUAGAGACCCGAGAUUUGUUUCGAGAUUUUGGCGAAAGAUGCAGGAAGUGUUGGGGACUAAAUUGAAUUUUAGUACUACUUACCAUCCUCAGACCGAUGGACAGUCUGAGAGGACAAUUCAAACCCUUGAGGACAUGUUGAGGACUUGUGUUUUGGAUUUUGGGGAGAGUUGGAGUAAGUAUAUAACUUUAGUGGAAUUUGCCUAUAACAAUAGUUUCCACUCUUCUAUUCAAAUGGCUCCAUAUGAAACACUUUAUGGUCGAAAGUGUAGGUCUCCGAUUUGUUGGGAUGAAAUAGGUGAACGAAAGAUCUUAGACCCGACUACAGUGCCUUGGAUUGAGGAGGCCAAUGAAAAGUGAAGUUGGUACGCCAGAGGAUUCAGACCGCACAAAGUCGUCAAAAGAGUUACGCAGAUAACCGAAAAAAAGAUUUAGAAUUUGCGGUUGGGGAUCUAGUAUUUCUUAAUAUUACACCUCUGAAAGCAGUUUAAUGUCUGGAAAGGGAAAGUAUCCAGACCUAUUCGUGAAUCAAGGUAAAUUUCGAGGACGAAAUUCUCUUAAGAGAGAGAGGAUGUGAGAACUCGCAAAAUUUACUUAUUUAAAUUUCCUAUUUCUAGCUUAUUUAAUUAUUUAUUUGGUCAUUUACUCAGAAUAUUUUAUUUGACCUUUUAUUACUCAAUUACAUAGAAUAAUAGCUCACAUGUAUUUUUAAAAUGACUUGUUUCAAAAUUUAAUUUUUGAAACCUCGUUAAGUGAGAAUAACGAAUACGUGUUCGGAGAGAAUAACCGAUUUGAGAGUACUAUGAGCUUGAAAAAUUGGAGACUUAUACACUAGUCUAAAAAUAGGUAUUUUUAUGUUUAAAUACUCAAGUAUUAGUUAGUGAUACUAUCGUUAUAAGAAUUUCGUGAAAAUUCCACUCGACCGCGCACAAAUUGGAAGUACGCGUUUUUACACGCGCGAUUUAAUUGAGGGACUUUAGACCCUUAUUUUUAAACCAUUAAGAGUGAAUAAUAAUAGUAGGAAUACAAGUGCAUUAGAGGUUUAGUGCACAAGUGAAACAAUCUCGAGAGAAAUCGAGCACGAAACGCGGGCGUACACGCGGGAGAGAGAGUUGACUUUUGAACCAAUUUAGAGCCACACAUUUUAGCUUCUCUUGAAAGCUUCAUUUGCAGCCAAAACCUCUCUCUCUCUCUUGCUCUAAGACAGCCGGCCAUCCAAGGAGAAAAACAACCAAAGUUCUUCAUUUUCCUUCGUCAAUCCUUGCUUCAAAUCUUCACCAAAUCAUCUCAAAAUUCACAUACACUUUGCUAACCACUUGAAGAUCACCCCAAGCUAGGAAAAGGGGCUUGCUCUCACGGUUUUUCUUGAGUUAAAAGGACCGAAAUUUCUUCCUUGAUCAUCUAAGAAAGUAAGUGAUGAUCAACCUCUCAAAUCUUGACUUAUGGAAGUUAUAUUGUACUUAUAAGCUCAUAUAUUCAUGUGGGUAGCUUUAUUUAUAUUGGAAAUUUGGUGUGUGGGUUCCCACAAUGGCUUGGUGGACUGAUUUGAUGAUAUAUGAUGCUAUUUAUGUUGGAUUAGUGCUUAAUCUAGUGGAAAUACGUUUGGUUGUGAAGGAAAACUCAAAAGGAGAGAGUUGAGCAAAAGUGACAAAUCCGCCCUUGUUAUUGCCGUGACCCUUAGUGCAUUUUUCUGUAGUUUAAUUGACUUAUUUACGAUGUAUACAUGUUGUGUGGGUUUUGUGGAAGGUUUCCACAAAAAAUUACGUGAUUUGGAUGAUUAAAUGUUGAGUUUUCGAAAAUUUGUCAAAGCUGGAAAUGAGUCCCGUAUUACUCUGGCAGUGUUUUUGUUUCGGUCAUAACUUUUUACUUCGAUGUCGAAAUCGAGUGCCGUCAGUGGCAUUAGAAACUAGACACUUCCAGUUUUCCAAUGGUAUAAAAUUCAUGCCCUGAUUCUACUUGAGUGAACCAUACCAAUCAUUUGAACAUGACUGCCCUGUUUCGCUGAUCCACUGGAGUGCAGGUCAUGAGCUGCAACUUGAUGCUCGAAUAUGGGCUAGUUGUGGACAGAUUUUUAAAACAAUUCCUUCUGUGAAAUUUUAUCCUUAUAAAUGUAGUUUCCAACGCCACCAACUAUGCUCAAUUCCAAGUUGAAUUGAGUGAGUUGUGGCCAAAGUUCGAAACUGAUUUAGUGGUUGAAAACCCUCUUUUUGACUAGUAAAUGCCUAAAUCUUGAUUGGGACUUGUUGUUUUGAAAUUCUUGAUGUUGAUCACCUAUCAAAUGUAUCUUGGAUGUUUCUUAGACAUUGUCUACAAAAAUGGACCGUGUUUGAGACAUUUUGUUGGCCAAACGUUCUGAAAACGGAAAACGGAACCACAAGGCAGUUUUGUCUUGGAAGUUCUUGGAGCUUUAAUGAUUUUGUUAACCGACUUCCCGUACGUAUUUUUCUAUGUAAUUUGAUAGAGGAAUAACCCUUAUAUGGUAGUAUAAUCAUACCAAAUUUGGUAUCAUUCCGAGUCUAUUUCGAAGCUCAAACAAAGUCCCGAAGUACGUGAUUUAAACCUGGAAUUUGCUUAACAGUUUCACUUUUGCAGCAACUUUGAGCUACCAUAUCUUGGUGCCCAAAACUCCAAUUCUUGUUCCUCUUGUUGUGUUGAAAACUUUGAUUGUAACUAUAAUUGAGUUCCAAAUUUUAGAAACUAGUUCACAUUGUGUGAAUUUUGCCGAAUUUCCAAACUUUGCCGAAAAUCAACCCAAAUCUGUCUUGGCAUUCCAAAACAGCCACUUUGAGCUAAAUUUUGAAUAUCUUUCAUUUGGAAUCAUGGAAAAGUGUCUUCUAGGAAAUUUUAGUACUUUGGAAUAAAUUUCCAACGGUACCAAGUUUUCCAAUUUUGGACUUGUAGAGAGUGAGAUACGAUUUUUCAAAGAUUACUCGACAAAUCUAAAAUUUUCAAACUUAAAGGAAAUUGAGGGUUUCGAACUCUCUAUCUCCUUUGGUAUUGCUAGACCGUUGUAUACUUGAUUUCAAAGAUGAAAAAAAUCAGAUUUUCCUUGUGUUUUAAAAUUCCAUUUUUUGAGUCUCGAUUUACGAGUAAUUAAGGCUCAUUUUCGUAAAAUUUUCUUAGAUUGUACAAGUGUACAAUCUUCCUUGAUAAUUGGGGUUUAUAAGUGAUAGUUCAUUAUUAAUUGCUCAGGCACUCAAGAGGACCUCCAAGAGGAUCUCACGGGAGACGCCUAAUCAAUCGCUUGUAUUUGCUACUUGAAUCACUCGGUGAGUGUCAAGUGUAUGAGUACUUGAUACAUGCUUAAUUGUUAUAAAUGAUUGGAGAUUUUGAAAAUGAAGUCGAGUGUGUACUUUACCGCACUCGUUCUCAUUUGAAAUGAAUGGAAUGAAAUGUAUUCAAUGAAGUCGAGUGUAUACGUCGCUGGAGUGAAUCUCCUCGACUCACAAAUGAACAUGGGGGACGCCCAAAUCUCACUGGCUAACCUUGGACUCGAGCCGGCAUGGGCUUGGUCGGGCUCCUUGGUGAACCAUGAGAAAAUAUAAGCUUGACCUAUUGAGAAAUCUUGCUUGACAUACUCGAGCAGUAUCGCCUCAAACAAACGACAGGCGGGCCCGAUACAGGGGUAUGUAAGGUGAAAGGGGACAUGAUAAGUGAAGUUCUACAGACUGAACCUACCCGGUUGAUGGAGUGUCAACUAGUGGAGGUUCGUGAUCGUGCAAGUGGAAAAUAGCUUCUGAGAGCUCCUAUAUCCUUGAAUUGUUUUUGUUUACUUUUCUUGCUCGAAUUGUUAAUUAUUGCAAUAUUAUUGCUCUACUUGUAAAUAGGGAUUGUUACUUGAACAACAUACCUGCAUGUGUGUUCUUGGCCUCAUAAGUGUUUUGUUCACCCUGUAGAUUUGUUUUCCUUAACAGGAAAGGAUCUGGAAUGGACUUCGGAGAAACCCCUUUCGAAUGUACUUUUGUAUUAGGGUUUUUCAAUGUGCUUGGCUAAGGCUCUGGAUUAUUGUAUAUUUUGAGAACUUGAUGUAAGGAUUGGAUACUUGGCGUAUUUUGGAACUCGUGAUGUAAGUUUGAAUGUUAUUUAUGGGAGUGACCUCCCUUUCUUACUUAUAUCAUCGUGAUGGUUGGUAUUUCAUUAAGUUUGAACGGAAAUUAUCUUGAGUCCUGGCGAGAGUUGGGCAGGCGUCCCGCGGAUACCCUUUGGUUCGCCUUAGGGAGAAAUAGGGGCGUCACAGCCUCUCUAUCACAUAAUCAAAUAAUCUCGUAUACUUGAAGUAUUUUUGCACAUUUAUUCAACAUGAAUUAAUGGCUUGUGUUACUUUUGAGAAACUUUAGCAUUAUCUUAAUUGCAAUAGUUUGAUUACUUUUUGUAAAAGUUCUUUUCAAGGAGUAGGAAGCAUAACAUAAACAAAUAUGAUAGCCUUGAAGUUUUUGUAACUUUUUCUUGUUAUUGCUUAUAAUGUUCAUUGCAAUUUUUAUAUUUUGCAAAUUUAUUUUUGAAAAAAUAUAUGCAAUAAGUUUGAUACAUUUAAAAAAAUUGCAGAGAGCAAUAAUAGCAAGGUCAAUAAUGGUAAAAUUUAUUUUAAAUAAUUAUAAGGAAAUUAUCAAAGUUAUGCAAUUUUCUUGUGCCUCUAUAAUAAAAUAGUUUAAUUUUUUAGUUUUUAUUGGAAACUAUAAACUAGAUUAAAGCUUUCCUUUCUUCUUAUCCUACAUGGCAAUCAGGGUAAUUAGGUGGCAACAAUAACAUCAAUUUGAGAAUAAAAUUUGAAAGUGAAUCACAUUGGAAAUAUUUUUUAGAAAGAGUGUUAUUUUUGGCAAAAAACUCCCACCCACAUGGUGUCUUUCUUUUAUGGUUAUAUGUAUCUUAGUUGAGAAUAAACUCUCCUGCCCUCAUAAAUCCUGUCUUAUCUUGUGUGGUUGUCCACUAAAUAUAUUUUUACUAAAUGAUUCUUUAGUUAAUGAGUGUUGCUUUCGUAUUCUAGUAUCCGAGCUCAUAAAUUUUAGUUCAAACUAGACUUUAUGUUCGCAAGAAAUAUGUAAAAAUGAAGGUACACUUGUAACUCCUCCUUGUUUUGAAUAUUAAUGUGUGUGUUUGUGCUGAUUUUUUAUUGUGAAUUGUCUUGUUCUAAGAUAUUUUUAUUUGCAUGUUACUUUUUUGAGAAAAUGACUUGUUUCAUCCCUCACAUUUCGUAAAAAUAUUCUUUUUGUCCCUCACAUUUAAAACGAAGCAAAUUGGUCCUUCACAUUUAAAACCCAAGCUUUUACAUCUUAGAAAUAAACUCUCAGUUGUGAAUCAAACUAUCUAAUAACCCGGUUACAAAUUUUGGGGAUAGAAUUAAUAGAUCACUCGCAAAAACAUAUUUCCAACAAAUAAAUUAAAACAAUUAAAAAAUCUUAAUUAAAACCCAUUUGCUUCUUCAAAAGAACGAAAUAGUGCUAAAGCUCUCAAGCACUAAACCCUUAGACAUAUUUCUCAGUUUUUGUUGCACUAAGGGUUUAGUGCUUGAGAGCUUUAGCACUAUUUCGUUCUUUUGAAGAAACAAAUGGGUUUUAAUUAAGAUUUUUUAAUUGCUUUAAUUUAUUUGUUGGAAAUAUAUUUUUGCGAGUGAUCUACCAAUUCUACCCCCAACAUUUGUAAUCGGGUUGUUAGAUAGUUUGAUUGACAAUGCGAGUGAUCUACCAAUUCUACCCCCAAAAUUUGUAACCGGGUUGUUAGAUGGCUUGAUUCACAACUGAGAGUUUAUUUCUAGGAUGUAAAAGCUUGGGUUUUUAAAUGUGAAGGACCAAUUUGCUUCAUUUUAAAUGUGAAGGACGAAAAGAAUAUUUUUACGAAAUGUAGGGGAUGAAACAUGUCAUUUUCUUUACUUUUUUUUUUUGUAUCAGUUAUGAAGUUGUUUAAUAAGUUUCAUAUAUAUUUAGUAGUGGUAGACUGAAACUUAGUGAAGCAUUAUUCUAUGUGUUGGUCAUAUAAGAUUGGCAUAGCUUUUGAAAAGUAAAUCAAGAAAAGGAUAAAAAUAAAUUAGCCUUGAAAAUUCAUGUCAAUUAUCAACGUACAAUUCAAAUUAGAUAAGUUCCAAUCUUUUAAAGAAAAGGAUUAUUAAUACUGUCACUUUACUUUAAAUUGAUAUUUGACAGGACGUGAAUAAAAACUUGUUCAUAUAGAUUUUUUUUUUAACUGUAGUUAACUAGCCUUAUUUCUUUUUUAAUUCAAAGUUGAAUUCAAGAAAAUUCGGCCAAUCAUUUAAUGCUUGGUACUACUGGUUCAUUAAAGCUGCAUUUGGAUUGAGAAAUUUAACAAAGGAUUUGAAAUCCUCUAAAAUCUCUCUAGUUGUUUAGAUUAAUUAAAAGGUAUUUGGAUUUGUAAAUCACUAAUUAUUUUGUUUAAAAUGUAGUUAUGUAAUUGAUGAAUUACAAAUCCAAAUACCUUUUAAGCAAUCCAAACAACUAGAGCGAUUUGGAUGAAUUUCAAAUCCUUCAUCAAAUCCUUGAAUCCAAACAAAACCUACAAUUUUAUGGAAGUCAUUAUAAAGAUGCUUCAUAGCAAACUUAAAGUUUGUAAAAAGAGAAAAACAUGAAGAAAUAUGUAAAAUGCUGAAAGUUCUACCUAAGUAAAGUUAGUGAGUUUUUUGCUAAAAUAACACUCUUUCUAAAAAAUAUUUUCAAUAUGAUUCACUUUCAAAUUUUAUUCCCAUAAUGAUGUUAUUAUUGCCACCUUAUUAUCCUGAUUGCCACGUAGGAUAACAAGAAAGGAAAGUUUUGAUCUAGUUUAUAGUUUCCAACAAGAGUUAAAAUUUUUAAUUUUUUUUAAUCAUAGAGACACAAUAAGAUUGCAUAACUUUGAUAAUUUUCUUAUAAUUAUUUAAAACAAAUUCUACCAUUAUUGACCUUACUAUGAUUGGUCUCUACAUUUUUCUUGAAAUGAAUCAAACCUAUUGCAUAUAUUUUUUUCAAAAAUUAAAUUUGAAAAAUUCAAAAAUUGCAACAAAAAUUGUAAGUAAUAACAAGAAAAAGUUACAAAAACUUCAAGGUUAUCAUAUUUGUUUAUAUUAUCCUUCUUACUCUUUGAAAAAAAACUUUUACAAGAUGUAAUAAAACUGAAAUUUUCAAGUUUUCAAUUGCAAACUAAAAACUGCUAGAUUAUUUUCUCCUAGACUUUUUAUCAAACACACGGUGUGAGAAAUCAUUUGUUAGACAAUUAAUAUUCAAAAAAUUUUUGAACGCCAUAGCAAUGUUCCAAAAAUUGCACAAUAGAAAAGAUAAGAGAAUAAUCUUUGUUUAUCUUGAUAUUAUCAAGGAUGAUAAUGAAUUUUUAUAUACUGUUAAUAUAAAUAUUGACUUCUCAAAAUUACGUUUGACAAGGAAAAGGCAAUGAAAGGAAAAAAACACAGGAGAGAGAGAAUCAGGAGAGAAACGAAGAACUCUUUAAAGGUACUAUUAAGCCCCGUGUUGAAGCAGCAGAGGAAGAGAUUCUUUCGUGGUUGCUUUGCCGAAGCAGAGGCGAGGUCGGUCGUUAAGAAGAGAAGAGAAGAGGAGAGAAGGUAAGGUAUUCAAUUAAGAUGUCAUGCGUUAAGAGGAAAUUCAUUCCUUGGUUUUCCACUUGAACCAGGACUGGGCGUUCUAAGCUUUCGGGUAAAGGGACUCAGAUCGAGGGGCUAAGGAUUCUUUUUGUUGUAAUCCCUUAUCGCAAGGGCCAUUGACUUCUUCCUUCAGGAAGUCCAGUUCUUCACAGGCCUGUCUUAUGAGCCCUUUCAAUUCUUUAGCGAGUGGUUGAGUUUCCGCCCCUUACCCUCACUUUAUGAAAGAGACCCUGAUCUCUCGCUAGACCUCAAAGUAGAAAGAAGGAUUAGGCCUUCAAGGAAAUGGAGAUAGAGUUGUUAGAAGGGUCUUCCUUAGUUGAAGGAUAGGUAACUGCUGGUUUUGAAAGCCUGAGGAGGAUCCAGUGCAAAAUCAAGAUCAGUCCAUUUAGUGGACUUGAAACUAGAGAAGGAAAGAAGGAAUUAGAGUAAGCGGAAAGGGGAUCUUAAGUUAAACCCGCCAAUCCCUUUUUACUGGCCUGCCAUGUAUGAGGCAAAACUGCUAACCCGUAAGCUAGUAAGUCACAGUCACCAGGGGAGCUCUUCAGUUGGCGCCGUCUAUGGGAACGAAGGUACGAGUAGUUGUGUUGAUGGCGAGAACGCGUUCAAAGCGAACUGUGGAGAACACCGACCCCGGAGCCGGCGAGGGGUCCCGGCGAGUGGAGACCGAGGCGGCUCGGGGCGCCAGGGGCUCAGCCCUUUCAGGGGAACGGAGACAGCAGAUUUUUCAGUUCGUGACGGAGAACCUUCCCAUGCUAGAAGACAUAAUUCGGCAAGCAAAGGAGGGGGUGAAGCCGAGGGCGUCCAAACCUCCAAGGCGAAGGGGAAGGAGAGGGAAUCACCUCCCGCUCCUUCGGAGGAUGAGUCACGGGACCAGCCCUCCAGGAAGAAACGGCCACGGACUCCCCCUCGGCCGCGGGCCUCGGUGGUCGGGGAUAGUGAGGGGUACUCUCGCGAUCGGUCCGCUGGGGGCCGACCGAGAAAUCCCUCCUCGUGGAAGCUUGCGCGGAAGGAGCCUGAGCGCUCCCCCGUCCGAUCUAUCAAGAGCCGGCCGCGAGACCACCCCCAGUGGAACCCUGUCCGGGACGAGUUUGAGCAGAUCUUGCGGCCGCAGUUGUACGAGGACAACUAAACCACCUCGCCCUUUACCCGGGAGAUAGAGGACUACCCACUACCCCGGAGGUUCAAGAUCCUGAAUAUCGAGCUGUACGACGGCUCGACCGACCCGGAAGAUCACAUUUCGGUCUUCCUGACGCAUAUGCGCGCCUGCAAACCGCUGCGGAUGGGGUCCGCUGCAAAACCUUCCCCAUGUUCCUAAAGGGGAAGGCCCGGCUCUAGUUCCAAGGUCUGGCACCGGGGUCCAUCCGGAACUUCCCCGAGCUGGCCAGGCAGUUCGCCGUCCAGUUCGUCUCCUCGAAGACUUUACUCGAAAAAUGCGACUCACCUGAUGGCAAUCAGGCAGAAGCCGGACGAGUCCCUGAGGAACUUCAUGACCCGCUUCAACACGGAGAGCUUGCAGAUCAGGGACAAGGAUGAAAAUGUGGUCAUGGCCGCCAUCAUGAACGAGCUCAGGGUGGAAGAGCUCUUUCUCAAGCUCGCCGAGAAGCCUCCCGGAGACCUGGAAGAGCUCUUGACUAGGGCACACGCAGCCGCUAAUGCGGAGGAGGCUGCUCGCCUGAAGAGAGAGUCAGAUCGGGAGAUCGAAGAUAGGAGAGGAUGGGUAAACCCGCCCGGGAAUAAGGACGGCCCGGCCAAGAAGAAUGUUUUCGACCGGCUCUCAAAGGAUAAGGCCCCCGGUCAACCGCCGCUUCCAGAAAAAGGCUACAACCCCCUAACUCGGCCCAGAGCCCAAGUUCUGGCCGUUAUGGAGGUGGAGGGCCUAGUGGGGUGGCCGCCUAAGAUGGGGACACCCCGGAACAAGAGGAACCAGGACCGGUACUGUGCCUUCCACCGUGAUGUCGGGCAUGAUACGGAGGGGUGCCGGGCCCUGCGAAAGGAGAUAGAGGAUCUGAUCCAGCACGGCUUCUUGGGGCGAUUCGUGCAGCAAGGUCGACCAGGCCAGGAGCCUGGACGCACCUACCGCGGAGACAGGGGCGAGGGCCAGCUUCGUGGCCGCCCUGAGCGGCGUGACGUCCCUUGGGACCAUUCCCCCGACCAGGACACCCAGAACUUGACAGGGGUAAUAAACACAAUCGCUGGGGGCCCCACGGGAGGGGACAGCCAUGCGGCCCGGAAGAACAGGCGACUUCUUUCGGAGGGGAAUGACUCCUUGAAGCGCCUGCGUAUGGACGAAGAGAUCACCUUCGGACCAAGGGACGCGGUUCCUCUGGCGUCUGGAAACCACGAGGCCAUCGUGAUAGACGUCGUGACCAAUAACUACCGGGUGAAGAAAGUGUACGUCGACCAGGGGAGCGCGGUGGACAUCCUGUUUUACCGGGUGUUCAAGGAGCUCGGAUUGGAGGACGGACAGCUAACCCCGGUUCGGACACCCCUUGUGGGUUUCACCGGACCGCCCAUCACUCCGGAGGGGAUGAUCACCCUGAUGGUUACGGUAGGGCAGGCGCCCAAAUGCCGGACUAUCCCCGUCAACUUCGUGGUGGUCAAACAACAAUCCCCGUACAACGUGUUCUUGGGACGGCCCGCCUUGAAUGCCUUUCGAGCUAUCCCCUCGUCUCUCCACCUCAGCGUCAAAUUUUCCACCCCGGGAGGAAUAGCUGAGGUGCAUGGGGAUCCAGAGGUGGCCAGAACUUGCUACUUGGCCGUGCUCUGGGGACAUGAGAAGGUGAUCGCCCAGACGACCACUUUAGAGCCUUACAUCCCGGGGGAAGAGGCCCGGCAGCUGGGCACCCAGGACCAGAUCGAGGAGUUCCCAUUGAGAGAGGACAGGCCUGACCAGGUCCUCCGCGACGGUGCGUCGCUACCCCCCGAAGAGAAGGAGGGCUUGAAGGCCCUACUAAGGGAGUACGCCCAGGUCUUCGCGUGGACGGUGGAGGACAUGCCUGGGAUUCUGACUGAUCUGGCCGUCCACCACCUCAACGUAGACCCCCGCUUCAAGCCAGUGAAGCAGAAGAAGAGGAGUUUCGUCCCAGAGAGGAAUGAGGUGAUCAGGAAGGAGGUCAGCAAGUUGUUGAAAUCCAAAAUCAUCUUGGAGGUGUACUAACCGACCUGGUUAGCCAACCCCGUCCUGGUAAAGAAGGAGGACCAGUCCUGGAGGAUGUGCGUGGACUUUACAGAUCUCAAUAAAGCCUGCCCGAAGGACUGCUUCCCUUUGCCGAUGAUCGACAGGUUAGUAGACUCUACUGUUGAUUUUGACGUUUUGUGUUUCCUGGUUGCUUUCAAGGGAUACCACCAGAUAGAGAUGGCCGAAAAAGACCGAGAGAAGGCCUCCUUUAUCACCGAGGAAGGAACUUACUGCUACCGGACCAUGCCGUUUGGGCUAAAGAACGCCGGAGCUACCUACCAACGUCUGGUCAACAAACUAUUCCAGAAUCAGAACGGCAAGAGUAUGGAGGUCUACGUGGAUGAUAUGAUUGUCAAGAGCCGAACUGAUCGGCAGCUCGUCCCCGACCUUAGGGAAAUCCUGAACAUUCUAUUGAAAAGCCGGAUGCGGCUGAACCCAAAGAAAUGUACCUUCGGGGUUAGGUCGGGAAAGUUCCUGGACUUCCUGGUCUCCCGAGAGGGGAUCCGAGCCAACCCGGAUAAGUUUCAGGCCAUCAUAGACAUGGCCCCCCCGAGGAGCGUCAAGGAGGUCCAACGGCUCGCGGGCAGGAUGGUCGUCCUGAACAGAUUCCUCUCGCGCUCCGCGGUAAGGGGGCUGCCCUUCUUCCGAAUCCUGAAAGCACCAAAGGACUUCCAAUGGACGGAGGAGUGCCAGACAGCCUUCAUCGACCUAAAAGCAUACUUGGCCGAGCUUCCUGCUCUGACUGCCCCGGAGCAAGGAGAGACCCUGUUCCUAUACUUGUCUGCUUGCAACGAGGUCGUUAGCGCGAUUUUGGUGCGGGAGGACAAGGGGGUUCAACGGCCAAUAUACUACGUUAGCCGAGCUUUACAAGGGCCGGAGACGCAUUACACGCCGGCGAAAAAAUUGGUCCUCGCCUUGGUGCACGCCGCUCGGAAGCACCGACCUUACUUUCAGGCCCACAGCAUUACCGUCCUGACAGAUCAACCCUUACGGCAGAUACUCACAAAAUCCGAGGUCUCGGGCAGAAUGACCAAAUGGGCCGUCGAACUGGCCGAGCACGACAUCGGCUAUCAGCCUCGCACCGCUAUCAAAGCUCAGUCCCUGGCAGACUUCCUCGUCGAAGGAGCCAAGCUGUCCGUAACCGAGCCGAGCUCUGUGCCCGAGGAGGCGCGGCCGGAAGAGCCGUGGGUACUAUUCGUAGACGGGGCCUCAAGUAAGGAAGGGAGCGGAGCUGGCUUGCUGCUCACUUUGCCCACCGGGGAGGAACUGACCUACGGUCUCAGAUUUGACUUCCCAGCGUCCAACAAUGAGGCUGAGUACGAGGCGCUAUUGACAGGAUUGUGGAUAACCCACCAGAUGGGUGUAACCGCGAUCAGAGUCCGGAGCGAUUCUCAACUCGUAGACUACCAAGUCCGCGGGGAGUACGAGGCCAAGGAAGAUGUCAUGAAAAGAUAUUUGGCUAAGGUGCAGGAGGCGAUAAAGUUGUUCGACCUCUUUGAGAUCGAGCGGGUGUCAAGGUCACAAAACAAGCGAGCGGUGCAAAAGAGCAUUGGCAAGGUCCAGGUUCUGGCUAUAGACAGCCCGGCCACCUGGAUGACUCCCCUCGUGGACUUCCUCAGCUCGGGUGGCCUUCCAGUGAACAAGACCAAGGCUCGCCGACUCCACCUCAAGGCUGCAAGGUACGCCUACGCCGGGGGGACCCUCUACAGGAGGUCAUACUUGUCCUCCUGACUAAAGUGUGUAACUCCCGAGGAGGGUGACUAUGUCCUCCGAGAGGUUCACGAAGGCCUGUGCGCGGCACAUGGGGGGUCCUGGGUGUUGACCAAAAAAUGCCUGCUCCUAGCCUACUACUGGCCCUCGGUGUUUCGGGAUGCCGCAACUCUUAUUCAGAAAUGCCGGGCCUGCCAGGUGCACGCCCCGCUGCGCCACCAACCUACUCGGGAGAUGAUCCCUAUCCACAGUCCUUGGCCCUUUGCCCAGUGGGAGAUAGACCUCUUGGGUCCCUUCCCUCGAGCUCCUGGAAGGUACGAACACCUCGUGGUGGCCAUCGACUAUUUCACAAAGUGGAUGGAGGCCGAACCCCUGGCCACUAUUUCCGGAAGGGAGAUUCAGAAGUUCUUCUGGAAGAACAUAGUCUGCCGCUUCAGGAUCCCGCAUGUCUUGAUAUCCUACAACGGGCGACAGUUUGUUGAAAAUCCUUUCAGGAGCUGGUGCGCCGAGCUCGGGAUUAGCCAACAUUUCACCUCGGUCGGACAUCCCCAAGCCAACGGUCAGGUAGAGAAUGCUAAUCGAACCAUUCUGCAAGGGCUUAAGACUAGGUUGGAACUAGCCCAGUCUAACUGGCUAGAUGAACUCCCUAGCGUCCUCUGGGCUUACCGCACUACGCCAAGGACAGCUACUCAUGAGAACCCGUUCUCCCUGACUUACGGGGCGAAGGUGGUGGUGCCCGCGGAGGUCGGUCUCCCCUCGCCUCGGACACAGAACUUCGUGGCGUCAGCCAACGAAGAAGAACUGAGGUGCAACUUGGACAUGCUGGAGGCUAAGCGUGAGGAAGCGACGAUACGGAUGGCUAAGUAUAAAAGCCAACUCGCCCGCUAUCAUAACGCGAGGGUGAGGAAUAUGCAGUUCCAACCGGGAGAUCUCGUCCUAAGAAAGAACUCAGUCAGCCGAGCUCAUAACUCCAACAAGCUUGGUCCGAACUGGGAGGGGCCGUACAAGGUCCUCGAGGCAAGCCGGGCUGGGUACUGUAAGCUUGCCAAAUUAGACGGUGUAGAGGUACCCCGCCCUUGGCACUUCUCGAAUUUGCGAUUGUUCGUAGGAUAGGUUGGUCCGGAGUAUCUUAUUGUAUUCUUUGGAAUUUUCGUACCAGUUCAUCAUUAAAUAAAUGCUUAGUUUUCACGUUUUAAGUCCCUUCUCAUUAUCAAUGUCGUUUAACUUUUCACUUCUACACUAGCACACUCAGAUAAUGCUAAGUGUCCUAGUGGGGGGCCCUGAGAGAUCGACGCUCGACCUAGGAGGUCGGCAGGGCUGUCUUUAGAAUUUUGCCGCUCGUUCCAAGAGGUCGGCGCAGUUUAAAAAGAGCCUUAGGGUCCGGUGCUCGACCCAGGCAAAUUGGAAUUUGGUUGUUAGUUUAGCUUGGUCGUCUGAUGGGACCCCAGUUUGUCGUCCUUUGGCAAAUUGGUUGUUGGCUUACAGUUAGGCAGGUGCUCGACCCAAGAGGCCGGCACGCUGCUUCAGUAAAUCAGGUUUGACGGUCGAUUCAGGAGGUCGGCAUAACUUAAAGCCUAGAGGUUUGAUGUUCGGCCCAAGAGGUCGGCGCGUCACUCCGGUUAUUAGAAUUCAAUUGCUAAAUCAGCCUGAUUGUUUGAUGGUUUGGUGUCCCUGACAACUUAGCCGUUAGCUUAAAGGGCGAUAGAUUCUCGACCCAAGAGGUCGGCACGCCGCCUUGGUGGAUCUAUUUGGUGCUCGACCCGGGAGAUCGGUGUUCCUCUUCGGUUACUAGAGUUCGCCGCUAACUAGGAAUUGAAGGUCAAAGCAGAUAGUUUCAUUCAAACUUCAUCUCAUAUAUGCAUUCAGACCCUAUCUAUUACAAAGCCUACCGAGCUAUACAAGGAAAGGAAAACCUAGCUAUGCCUUCUUCUUGCUGGCGACCUGCUUGAGGCGGGAGCUGAAAGUACACCUUAAGCAUGUUGAGAGGCGUAUGGAGAAGGCUGUUAAAAAGGAUCUGUGGAGAUCAUGAACUGCGGGGCAUGGCCACAUCCUUAUAAGAGGAUGGAAAGGGUUUCUGGAGUGGCCUCUGCCCUAAGCCACUGGCUCCUUCCCAGAAGCCCUGCCAGGGGUCUCCUCCUCCUCCAGGGGGAGCUCCGCCAGCUCGGCCCCUACAUCGCUCCUACCCGUCAGAUCUUUCAGAGCAUGCCCUUUGCAGUACCCAUCGAAGAGCCAGUCCAGCUUCCCCUCGGCUGCGGGGUUGUAGUCCCUGAAAUCAGCCAAGUUGAAGCCGGGUAGGUUGAGGCCCUUCACCUGGUCCAGGGCCCGCGUGACGCCGACCUGAAGGAUGGGCUGGUUGAGGAGGGCCACGUCCUCUGCGAACUGCUCAGAGGAGAUGAACUCCCGAACAGCCUUGGCUGACGGUGCCGGAGAGCUCAAUGGCUUGGUCCUCCCUCAAUUUCGCCAUGCCCUUCUUCUCCUGGUCCAGCUCGGACCGGGUGGCGGCGAGCUGGACUUGGGCCUCCUCCAACCCCUUCUCGGCCUUACCCAGUUUGGCCUUAAGGGAGUCCGCCCCCUUAAGGGCCUGGGCAAGCUUCUGCUCGGUCUCCCGAUGCUUCUUCUGCAACUUCUCCAAAUCGGGAGACAGCUCGGAGAAGCGGGUCACCAGGGCAGCAUCGACGGCAUUGGCCUGAGGAAAGGAAAGUAAGAGUAAGCACAAUACCAACUCCAUCAAGGGAAAGAGAAGGGGCCCAAGGGGCCUAAGCGGGAGAGGGCUUACUUGGGUCUGGGUGGUGUAGUACAUGUCCUGGAGCUCGAACGGGCUGGCCAGCUCCAUCCACCUCCUAUCGCGUAGAAGGACUGAGCCCGUGACCAACUCGCGAGCCACUUCGGGGAACUGGGCUCGGUCGUUGAUGGCGAGCUCCCAGGACGGGCAGAAGUGGCGGGGGUCGUGCAUGGUGGGGGCUUGCCCCGGCUUCGUGGGGGCCACGUGGCGGAAGUGCCAUAAGCUCGGGGGAGCGCUCUCCCGAGCGUGCUCCUCCGCGGAGCCAACCCCCAGGUGGACAAGGCCCCCCGACGUCAACAGGAGAGGGCGCUGUGCUGGGGCUGGCGUCGGCUUCUUCCCGGACUGGGAAGGCUCGUCCUCUCGACCCCUCUUCUGCCCUGGCCCCUUCUUUUUGCCGGCGGCCUGCUUGGAGGGGGAUUGAGACUGGGAGGCCUCCUUCUGGGGGGCCGAGCUGCCCCCAGGAGUCGGAGAGGUCUCGGAGGCCUUUUUCGCCGCCUCAGGCUGCGUGGUGGGAGCGACCUCCUCGAUUGGCGCGCCCAGUAGCCUGGAGAGCUUCCUCACUGCGACAAGCAUAUCCAGGUCAGCCAAAACAGGUCAGUAGGGAAAAAUACAAUAUAUAUGUAAAUACAACGAGCUACAGGGACAGAGUCGGCGUUACAGGCUUCGAGGUUGGUAGGGGAGGCCACCACCUCUCCAAGGGACCCUGACAACGUCUCCAUCAGCCCGGCCGCAGAGAUCUGCUUGGUGGAGAACUUGGCGGCAAAGAGUUUCACCUUGGAGCUCAUCAGUUGGCCGAGGGCCUCGGGGUCCAGAUCCUCUGGAUAGGGGUCGGAGUCGACCUCCCCGACUUUCCACAUGUUCGGGGGAAAGCUCGUGGAUUUUACAAAGAGGAAGUCCCCCUUCCAGUUUUUUAUGGAAGAAGGGACCCCAUAGAGUAGAUCCUGGGUACCCUUCCCCUCCCGAACUUGGCCAGCCCCUCGGCCGGAGAAGUAGUACCACCCAGGGAGGGAGAGCUUGAGGAUGUAAAAGGCCCGGAAGAGGGAAAUUGAGUAGGGGAUGGAGCAGAUUUGGCAGUAGAUCAGGAAUCCAAUGAUGAUCCUGAUCGAGUUGGGGUGGACCUGGGUGAUCCGGAGCCCCCAGUAGCUCAGGAUCUCCGUCAGGGCUGGAGGAAUGGGGAGCCGGAGCCCAGCGAGCAGCUGCUCCCUGUAGAUGGCUACAAAGCCAGGGGGAGGUCGGCAGGCUCGAUCGUUGGGCCCGGCGGCUCGAAGGCCGGAGGGAUGAAAAAAGACCCGGCCAGCUCGGCCACCGCCCCGGGUGAGAGGGUGAUCUCCUGCCGGUCGGGGUGACCGUAGUUGAACUCAGAAUCAUCCCCCUGCUCGGAAGCAGGGGUCCCCUCGGAGGAGUCCCUGUCCUCCCCAGCUCCCCCUUGGGCUCCGUCAGGGGAGUCGUGUGGAGACUUGGGGGAGGGGAUAGAAGUGGCUUGCUGCUCGAUAAGGGCAUCAAGCUCGCCCACCUCCUCCAGGAGUCGGGCAGAAGGAGAAUGGGCAGAUGGAGAGCUCAUGAUGUCAAUGGGCUCGAACAGGUCAGGAAUGAGGAAGUUGGGAUUAGAAGCAGAGGAAGAAGAGAGAGGGGGAGGAGAAGAUGAAGAUGAAGAUGAAGAUGAGGACGAAGAUGAAGAAGAAAUGAGGAUUCUGGGGGCUCUACGACGGGCCGGAACUUGGGAUGCGGUGGAAGUAACGUCGGAGCGAUCCGAUAUAAAAUGCAGAAGGUGGCAAAGGAGGAAAAGAAAAUGCGGGGAAAAAGAACUUACUGAUGAUCGGAGGGGAAAAAAGAUGAAGGAACCGCCGGAAUCUGGGUACUGAUGGCCGGAAGUCUUGCAGAGAGAACCUUUGGGAGUAGAGGAAAUGCGUGAAGAAGGGAAAAUGGCAAAUAGAGUUUGAGAGAGUCUGAUAAUCCCUAUUUAUUGGGAGCAAAAUGGGGGGGGGGGAAACGGCUGCUUGAAUUCGAACCGCCCCAUGUGAACGCAUUUAAGAGCGGUACGGAAACCGAGGAGACGCGACAACUGAAGGGACGCGGGCGCAGCUUUUCAAUGACAGCACUGUACCGGAGAUGACCGCGGCAGUACGAGGCGACGCUGGGCUCCCACGUGACAAGGAUGUAGAUCAGGUCUGCCUGGAAGCCCUACCUAAUCUAGGGGGCUAGUGCAGAGGCCCCGUCCUGGGCCCACACACGUGGCAGCCCAGGGAGGCCUGAGCUGGGUUUAGACCCUCAGACCCAUGGGAACCGUCCCGCGGCCCCCCGCCGCUAGGGCUCCAAGGGGCUCCAGAGAACAGUCCCACAAAGGUCGGGAUUGCUCCCCCUCAGUGCGGGAUUGAGGCUAUUCUGGGCAGGUCCCGCAACGUACGGAGGUCGGGCUCCUAAACAGGUAUAAAUGGUAACGCACACCGGCUGCGCAAGGUACGUUGACUAUUGGACAAUUACCCCCGACCAUUUUUACUUCCCGUGGAUUUCACUCAUCGAAAAACUAACUUGACCGUCGGAGUGCCCUCGGGGACGUUCUCGGGGCUCCCCCAUUGGAUUACUUUCUUGUUCGUUUUUCAGGCUUAGGACGCGCUCUUCUCAUCAGGAAAAAUAUUAGAUGGAAAAAAGAAAUAAAGUGUGCCUCUAUCUCUGUCCUGGCACAUGUGCAACGUAUGUGGCAAUAAACUCUAAAGUUAGAUAUGACAAUAUUAUUUGAGUAGACAAAUCAAUUUGAAGCAUAAGAAAAAAAAAUUCUCCUCAGUGGAGUUAAAUGCAUUAGUGAUUAUUCUUUUUCAUUUGAUGAGCUGCAUAAUUAUGAUACUGAUCGUACUCAUCAAAACUUUUAGAUAAAGCGUUGGGAACACAUACAUACAUGUCCUACUCGUCAAAAACUUUAAGCUAAUUCUCUGGGAAUGCACAUAUAUACAGUCACAGUAUAUCUGACAUGUAUUUAAGGUGCUGACUUGAAGGUAAAAAAAAAAGACUCAAAUUUGAUGUAAUUUUGUAAGAGAUUGGAUUGCCAAUAAGGACGCAAAAGAGUCAAAGUUUAAUUUAGUUUUAGAUCAUGCACACACAAAACUGAGGCUCGAAUAGGGUUAAUGAGCUGUCAACCUCAAAUGUAAAGCUCAAGUUUUGAGUUAGUCAAGCUAUGCAAACUUAGCUCAUUCUCAAGCUUUGACACGAGAGCUUGCAAAUACAUCCAUUGAGAUUAAUUUAAGACAAAUAAAGUUGUGCAACACUCGAAUCAAACAAGACUUAGUAAGGACUCACUUGAGCUUUGGUUAUCAAAUCAAACAUAGAAAACAACAAAGUGUUUAUUGAAGUUUCAAGCUUGCCUUGAUUAAUAUGAAACAUGAAACUUACACAAGUUUCAAAUUACUCCCAACUUAAUUUCGAUUAAGACUCUUAUGAAUUCAGCUCAAGAGCUAAACAAGCUAUUUUGAACUGGUAAAAAUAAACAGCAAACUGAAAUGCUAGAGCUCUGACUUGAUUUGGCUUGUUUAGACCCCUAUUCAAAACUCUCUGCAUU
rnacentral:lncRNA from 1 species